ensembl:processed_transcript Gm4117 predicted gene 4117
GUGCAGCUGUCUGGGAGCCCAGGAAGUCACACCCGUCUCGCGCACUGAGCUGAAGCUCCAGCCCACGUGGCGAAUAGCGAACCCCCCGGCGCUGAAGGGAGUGCCUAGCCGGGCCCCUCCUCCAAACCAGGGUACUUGGACUAGAUGGCAGUUCUGUGUUGCAUGGCGUAUUUGAGCAUGACAAGAUGCCAGUGAGGUGUGGAGAAGCAGAGGAAUGAAAAGUGUCCUGUGCAUCCAGAAGACACACUGCCUCUCACUUUUCAUAAUGCUGGAUGGAACUGUGUGGCUAAUACAUAUUCAUAAGUCCAAGGCGAAUGUCUUAGAUAAAUGAACAAACAUCACAGCAUUGCUUGCUGGGCGGCUCGGCUAAUGCUUCAGAAUUAGUAAUGUGUUAUUUACAGAAGUGAAAUAUUUGCUUCCCUUGGCACCUUCUCCUACAUGUAAAUUACUGGCCCAUUUUAAAUUUUUGUGUGUAUUUAACUAUUUUUGGUAGUUAAAUAUGAUCCAGCAAUAUUUUAGUUUUAUAAGAUAUGAAUCUUAAAAAUUUUUAUUUUCUCAAAUGGAAAUCUUCACAUUGCAGAGAUAAUGACUUUGAAGUAGAUUUCCUGCACCACCCCCCAAGGCCCCUUCUUAUAUCCAUGUAUUUACUUGUAUUCCCACCAAUAAGGAGCACUUACCCAUGGGAUGCUAAUACUUUUUAAAACAAAUGGUUCUAUUUUCAGGACUUCACAGGCAAUGAGGCAACCUAUCUGUUAAUUGAGGAGGAGCUGACACUAUUAAAUUUGGUUCUAUAUGGAAGUGAUGAAAUAGAAAAAGCAUUGCUUGUUCUUCUGAAGAAAUUUCUAUUUAUGAAUUAAGGAAGUCAACACUCUUUACUUAGGUGUGGGGCUUUGUAAGAUGGACCCCCAUAAUGCUGGGAUUUUAACUAGCAUGCAUCUGUGCAGGUAAACACUGCUGCUCUAAGUUCAUGAGUGUAACAGUCAUGUUACCCCUAGAACAUGACACUCCUCCCUGUUGUCAAACUCUCACACCUUUUCUGUCUCCUUCCUAUGAUGUUUCCUGCAUACUGAAGGAGGAAUGCCGAUAUAGACAUUGAAUCCAUGAUUGAGCAUUCUUCACCACUUAGUCUGCAACUCUUGGCCAAUUAUAAAUCUGUGUAUUGAUCACCACACACCUCAAAGAGAAUCUUCUCUUGCCGAGGCCAAGAGAAGAUUACCCUUUAAAACAGUUUAAUAAAAACUUUCAGUGACACAGGUUAAUUCAAGAAGAAAUUCCAUGGGAAUUUCAGAGAAAAGAUGGAAAAAUCCAGAAAAUCCAACUGAGAAGCUCAGUAAUGCUUAGGGUUCAAGCCAUAGCUAAUGGGUUUAAUAUCCCAGAAACUGUUUCCUGUAUAAUAAGGCAACAUUAUUCUUUUUCUUUCUUUCUUUGGCUUUUUUUUUUCCUUAUGAAAGUGGACUCUGGUUUAUUUGCUAUCGGGAGCACACAAAAGUCCUUUGAAUGGCCGGUCUGUUCCGUUUCUCUCCAUGUCCCCUUUCUCUCACAGGAGUCUUGCUUUCCCCCUUUCUGGCCCCACACAUACUUUCCUUAAAACAAACAUCCUUGUUUUAAAAGCAAAGAAGACUCUGCUCUCCAUUCUUGUUUGACUUCCCACACAUUGCUGUUAACGAUUCCCCAAACACAGAUGGAAGACAGGCUUGGACUCUUCCACUGUAAACUAUUUCACAAGAUCUCUGCCCUUUAAAUAUUUUGAUUUGUUCUUCUGGAAAGAAACUUUCCCUGUCAGCUCCCCCCCUCCUUCCCUGCUCCCCACGUGCUCACCACCACUAAGAAUUGGGUAUUUGUGAAUGUUACCAUUUUGUUAGUUUCAUCCUUUUAGCGAUACAGGGCUAAAAACAAACACUAAUCUUGCAUUCAAGAUUACUAUGUGCAUCUAGGAUGCACCCAUAGAAAAGAAACAUUAUUACAUUAGUUAAUUAUCAUUCAUAAUUUUCUGUUUUACCAAUGAGCUAAGAAAGGCAUGGCCAACAUUCUCAGUGGACUGGGGAAUUUUGGACUGCACUUUGUCCUUAUUCCUGGAGUUUAAGACCACUGGCUUUUCAUGCCGUCAGAAGUGAUGUAGAUGUAGAGUGUUCCUUUUCAAAGGGAUGGGCUUCACCUUGUCACAACCACUAUUGCCAGCAUGAAAUAUUAAAAAGCUGUUGAGCAUAAUUCCAAAAUAAUCUAAUGCGUUUACUUUGAAAAGGUUUAGUAUAGAACAAAAAGUAUAUGGUUCAGAGAUUACUCAGAAAUGCAAAUGCCUGAGAACUUGCCCUUGGAUCUGCUGUCAUGUCCUUAUCGCAACCAUGAUCUUAACUUUAUCUUAAACCAGAAUCAACUGUAUACUUCUUCUAAUGCCAAUAUUUAUUAUCUCGUGAUUUUUUCAGCAUUGCUACUUGCUUGAAAAACUUGAGGCACCUCUAAUUUAAGAACAUUCAUUGCACCAAAUUGCCUAAUCUGAGAGAAACACAUUUUUUUCUUUCCCUCCCUUCCUCACUCCCUUCCUUUCUUAAAAACACAUGCUUGGAAGUAAAAAUAUAUAUCAUUAAAAUUUCAAACAACUUUGAAGAUUUCAUGUUGAUACAUGAUGCAUACUGUCCUAUACCUUAAAAUUAGAACACAUCUAAGAAUAAAUUUAAACUGAUUUUAAUGUUUCUAAGCUUCUUGUAAUUUAUAGAUGAUAAAGUUCUGGCUAUGUAUAAUACAUAUUUCUCUCUCGAUAUUUAUAUGUAUGUGUGUCAAAGGAACAUAGAAAUAUUUCAUUAACAGUACCACUGAUACUGAGUAGACACACAUACACAUACACCAAACUUAAAAAUCUAUAUCCCAAAAUAUUUCCUGUUAUAUAUUUUUUAAUUUUCUCCUUUAAACUUAUGUAUUAUACACUCAAUAUUGAUGCCCACAUAUCAGUAUAUCUAAAAGAGAUAUAUGUAGAGAGAAGUAGAUAUAGUGAGAUCUCUAUUAUAUAGCAUAAUCUUAUAUAAUUGAGUANNNNNNNNNNNNNNNNNNNNNNNNNNNNNNNNNNNNNNNNNNNNNNNNNNNNNNNNCACUAUGAUAAAUAUAUUUAUACAUUUUGAAUAUGUGUAUCAGAAACAUCAAUUAUAUAUUUAUGUUAUACUAGUAUCUGCAUAUCUAUGUUUAUAAACAGAAAGAUAAAAUAUCAACAAAUGAGGUCUCACGAUAUAUGGAUUCUUAUUCUUCUGUUCUUGACAAGUAUUAUAUGCGCAAACAUGUAUGUGUCCUCAGACAUACAUGUCGUCUACCUAAUACUGUCCUUUACCAAAUUUACUUGUGUUUUUUCUAGGCAUGAGGUAGCAUUGCAUCUCGUUUGAAGUUAGAUGAAGAGAUGUGGCUUACAUGGCCAGUGGAAUGUGAGCAGAUGUAGUGCAUUUCACACACAGGUGGAAGGUCCAAAAGCCACUGUUUAGCUUAUGUCAUUAUCUGCACUAUGGCGACUGUCAAGCACGUAUUGGACUGACAUCUUUGUCAGGGUGGGUUUCUGAUUGGUUAGGAUACACAGACAUUUCUAAUACCCUGAAACAGGCAAGAUUGGCAGGAAAUAAACUUUUGUUGUACAAAAUUGCUGCAAUAUGUGUGGUGGUGGUUAACCCAGCACGAAAAUACAACCCAGCUUGAGUGUUGGCAAACUUCUCCUGUAAAAGGCCAGAGAGUAGGCAUUUUGGCUUUUAUGGCCUACAUAUGGUCUCUAUAAUAUAUUUCCUCAGUCUUUUUUCUUCUCAUAACAAACAAAAUUCAAAAUACAUUCUUAGGGGUACAUACAGCCCAUAUGAAAGUGGACUACAGUCCAGGCUAACCCAGUGGACUAUAGUUUUCUAACUGUCAUCUAAUGACUUCUUGAGAUAAAGACAGGAAAGUGAGGGCCAGGAACCAGGCCCUUGGUUAAGAGCACUUGCUUCCUUUGCACACCCUAGUUUAGUUCAGAGCAUCCACAUCUGGCUACUUACAAAAGCUGUAAUGCCACCUCCAUGGGGUCCCACACCAUUGUCUGAAUGCCACAAGCACCUGAAUGUACAUAGAUAUGGUAACAUGCACAGAGGCAAACACACACACACACACACACACACACACACACACACACACACUGAGACACAGCACGUAGAUAUAUACAUACAAAUAAAAAUAAAUAAAAAAUCAGAAAUGAGGAUGUACCUAUUUAGAAAAAAGAGGACACACUUCUUGUUGCUGUCCAAACCACAGUUAACAUUUCAGUUCAAACAAUUUAUAACAGCAUAUUAAAAAAAAACCUAUGUAGAAAUUCUUCAUUGUCCAUUUCAUUUACUUUAUUUUUACAUAGAAUGUCAAAUUCAAAUGGAGCUCUGUGGUGACAGAGCAUAAAGUUUCUCAAGGUAUUUCCUUGAGCAUGAAGAUGCUACACACAAACAGACAGAUACAAGAUGGAGAGUUGCCUCAACAUAAAAAAUUACUCUACAUGCUACAUCCACAAGCUCAUUUUAGCCUUAUGUCUGUCGAUAUGAAAUGGAAUGCCCACUCCUUGGAGCACACUGCCUUCUUUGCUUUUGUCUUGUUAUUGAGGACCUAGAGUUUGAGGCAUUGCCAACACGGGAGGUCUGUGUCAACUUUUCAUGUUCUCCUAAGUAUCUGUGUUUGGCCUUAUGAUCUGGCUCUAGGUUUGUAAUAUAUCUGGACAGUUUGUUUGGUCAAUCAGGGAUUGCACUGCAUGUGUGAGUGAUGUCAAAUAACCUCUGAGAGCAUAACACUGUCAAAAUUAUCUUGGUGUCAUAAGAAGCACACCCUGGAGAUGGAAGGACUUCCUUGAGUUUUUUUCACCUUUCCAGAUCAGUUGUUUUAUACGACUGAAAAGAAUUGGUAGUAGCAGUUUCUGGAAACUGUCAGGGUUUUAAAAGCAACAAACAGGGCUCAUCAUGGAACUUGUUACCUGUGAUGGACGCCCUGCUCCAGUGGAUUGCUUCCCCUUCGUACACCAUCAUCAUCUUCCCAUGUUGAGCUUUUUAAACUCAAUUUUGGAACUGUACAGUGAGAAUCAAGUGUUUUUCGCUUACAGUUACAUCUGAAGGUUGUAACAAAAUCAAGAAAUGGUCCAUGGGACUACAACCCCAGUCCAUGGAAUGUGCCUCCCACACUCAGGGUGCCUUCCAUCCUAAAUUAAACCUUCCUGAAAACAUCCUUCUGGACACACUGAGGGGUGCGUGCUCUUGAUGAUUUUAAUCCUCUCAAGUUGGUCAGCAAGAUUAAUGAUCACACAUUCCAUGGAGACAAGAAAUAAUGGAGUCUAUCUUAACACCCUAUUACAGCAAUUUUUUCCUACUCUGCAGUAGAGAAAUACUUGCUGAGGAUUCUUUAGUCAAGAAAACAUCAGUGCAGAUGCUUCCUCACUUCAUAUGUAUAUAUUUCAAGAUUUUUACUAAAAGUCUGCUGUUCAACAAAUAACCAUGUCGGAAAAAGUCGUUCUGCAGAACAUCAUGUGGAGAGACAUAUUUGAUGAACACUGGUAGAAAUUGAUCAGCUAAUUUUGAGUGCUUCCUAUGGUUAUGAAAGUUGAUGUUAUAGAUGCACCAAGCCGCAUGUGCAAGACAUCCCACCUCCCAAUGUUGAAACAUCAUGUCAGUAAGUUGUUGAUGUUGCUGUUCUGGUUUUGAGACGGGGCUGCAUGUAGUCCAGGACCUGCUGGACUUACUAUGGAGCUAAGGAUAACUCUUAGUUACUAAUCCUCCUGCCUCCAUUUCUUGAAUCCUGGGACUACAAAGCAUGCAUUACUACACUUAGUUUAAGUGGUAGAACUAAACUAAGCACAGAACUAAACAGAGCACAGAACUCUGUUUUGUACUUAUGAGACAAGGACUCUACUAACUAAACUACACUGUCACUCCCAUGUUACAUAUAUAUUACAGUAUAAUUACAUUAUUCAUCCUUUCUCUUCCCUCCCUUCCUCCCAAACUUCCCAUAUAGCUUAUCCUCCUUUGCCUUCUUUCAAAUCCAUGGCAUCUUUUUAAUUGAUGGCUAUUGUAUGCACUAGCAUGCAAUAAAUUCAUGAAUUUAUGGACUGUGAAAAAUACAAACUGAUUGGGAAUCUUUUCUUCCUCCUAGGGAACAGUAGGCCUAUGUGGCCGUUGUUUUUGGAAUAUUACUCUAGUUUCAGAAGUUUUGGAAAGCUAUGAGUCAUUUAUGCUAUUCACUAAUAUAAUGAAUCUUAGUCUUAUUUAAAUGUUUGUUUUAAUAGUAUUUAAUCAAUGAUUUAAGAAUAAGCUAAAUAGGAAAUUACUAUAGUCUACAUUACUGUAACUUGCUAACAAUCUGAGCUCAUGCCAACAUUAUAAAUUCUAUUGAAUGGUCUAGUUUGAAAAGCUCUGUUCUGGAACUAGUCUAGUCCCAAGAAGAGCACUGGGGAUAAUGGGCUUUUGAGGACAUAGAUUAGAAAUGAGUGGAGCUGUAAGCAACUGUAAAAAAAUAAUAAUAAUUAAUAAUAAUAAUUCAAGGCUGGGUCUGAAAUUGAUGGAUCUGUGGCAUCAUGAGCAAUAAUAAUCAGAACAGCUUGAUGAGUGUACACACAUGCUAAAUGUCUGACAGCUUCUUCAUUCAACAAUGUUCACAGCCGGACAAGAAAGGAUGCACUAUAUCUUUUCUGCAAAAAGGAAGAAAGCUUUAGCGUUGAAGAAACUUGCUCAACAUCACCAUGUUUAUAGCAGGUAGCACCGUGAAGGUAAUAUUCUACUUCAGUGAUGGUUGAUUGAGUCCUGGACUGCAUGGCUGCUGACAAACUGAGCUUAAUAAAGUAUGCAAAUGAAUUUUCAGUAGUUUUAAAGCUAUACUUCAUGUUUCCAGUUUUCAAACAGUUCCAUGAAAAUCAAUUAACUUUUUUAAUUAAAAAAAAAGAUGAUGUACUUACACAGCAUCAGGCAUAAUACUGGUGCAUCACAAAAACACUCUGAUACACUCAUCAAUUCAGUGACGGAAGUACAUAUUACCAUUACUAAUAUAAAAAUGUCAAGCUCAGAGAGGUAAAGAAAGUUGCUUCAGAUACAGAAAGUAUGUGACAAAGAUACAGUAUCAGCAGAAAGUAGCUAUGCAACUUCUGUUCUGAUAUUUUCUUUGAGGAAGAUUGAAUAAUAGUAGGAUUAUGACAAUAACAACAGAUAAUAUCUUAGAUUUUACCCAUGACAAACACUGUUUAAACACCCUUUGUACUUCCAUAAGUGUCGUGUGUGAAAACAUUCUUUUACUACUAUUCUGCAAAUGAAGUAAAUAAGUAUAAAAGGUAUUAAAUAAUUAUCCACCUAAUUGACAGCUAUAAAAAGCCAAUAGUGAAGUAGUCUGCAUUGGACAAAAUCUAAGGUCAUACCACAAUAUUAUAUUUUAAAAAUAAACAAAGACCAAAUGCUUACAAAAGUCAUAAGAUUUGGAAAAACAUUUCCAUAUUCUGGGUACUCUGCCUAAAUCCCAUCUCCAAUUUAGUACUCAAAAGAGGUCAGCAACAUUAUGGGAUGGAUAUACUAUGCCAAAAGUCCUUUAGGGAAACAAAUAUUACCUAGAGUCAGAAAUGCAGAGAAUGGAGCAUACAGCCUCAAAGUUCUCCCGAAAUUGAACACUGAAUAUUUUUCAUCUAGUCAGUAAAAGUCAUAAUCUUAUUGAGAUUUCUCUAAGGUAGUUACAGCCUUUAUAAAAUGGUGGGAUUUAUUUAAAACGUGUGUGCACUCAGCCAUAAAAAUAAAGUGGAGAACAAUGCAAAUCAAAUUGUAUAAUUUGUUCAAAUGCAUGUCUCUUUGGUCACACCUUCUUAAUGAAUAGAAGCAGACAAGCAAGGCAGCUAAUAAGUUAUUUUAAUAGGGUGAUGUAACGGUGUGUGAACUGUUACCUCCUGGGAGAGUGACUGACAGAUUACUGGUCUCAUUACUGUGUAGAUUAGUCUCAGGAAUUCAUUAGUGCCCAGUGUGGCAGCUCUGCUCAGUGCCCUUAAUUUGAAGAAAGAGACAGGAGGCCGGUGUGCCCAUGCAACUCCAAAGGCGGAUGAUCUGGAGUUGAAGGCUUUUAGAGCAAAGGACUCUCCUGAGAAGAUGGCAAUUAUUCAUGGUUUUUUUUUUUUUUUCAAGCCAGUGGUGACAGCUCUCUUUCCUUUAGUCUGUAUCAGUACAUUAAAAAAAAAAAAUUGCUACAGGCAACUGGAUUUCAUGUUACCUUGGAAGAAAGAGAGCUAAUGCAGAGUAUUUCAAAGGUAUUAUCUGUAUGGCUGAGCUUAAGUAUAAACAAUUUGACUUUACAGAAGGAUGAAGGCAAACAGAAAUAGCAUGGAAAAGUGUAAUUUAUCAGUAACUCUAGCAUUUAAUUUUUAUGUAAUAGGUUUGCCCCCCAUCGCCAAAGCUUUGUAUUGAUUGAUUUUAAAAUCUUUUAUAUGGUAUUUCUACCACAGGUAGGAAAACCAUUUCUCUGAAGACGCUUUAUAACAAACAACAAUAUUCUAAUCGUUGGGACAGGAAACAGAAUCCUCAAAACAUUGCUCACAUUCUAUUAAAAAGAAACUUUCCAACUUUGACUCUAGCUCUUAGAAAUAAAUUCAUAUUACAAGCAACAAUACCCAUGUAGGAUUUUAUAUCUGAAACCAAAUGUUGCCAUUCCUAUGAUAUAAUAUUUCUUUUUUUGUUCUAUUCUAAUCUCUUAAUUCAUAGCACUGUAUAGUAUCAUAUUUCUUUUUAAACUUAUAUUGUUCAAACUGUUGAAUCUAUUUUAAAAUUAGUUUCAAUUUUAUUUUACCAUUAUCAAUAAUACAGGAUAUGUACAUUGAAAAACUACAGAAUAACCAUCUCAGGGGAAAUUUUUUUCAUGUUAAGUUUUGUAAGAAAAAUUACUGUGUACUUACACAGCAUCAGGCAUAAUAUUGGUCCUUCACAAAAACACUCUGACACACUCAUCAAUCCAGUGAUGGAAGUACAUAUUACUAUUUCCAUUACUAAUAUAAAAACAUCAAGCUCAGAGAGGUAAAGAAAGUUGCUUCAGAUACAGAAAGUAUGUGACAGAGAUACAGUAUCAGCAGAAAGUAGCCAUGCAAUAAAUAUUGUUUGAACAAAUAGUGCAUUAUUUGCACACACAAUCUUGGCUGCAAAGGUGGUUUAAUUUUGUUAAUAACAGUGACUUCUCCCAGCAAUAACUGCAGAACAGAAGACACAGGCAGGCUGGUUAUCAACAUUCGCUCCUGGGAUCUAGUGAGAGCAUCCGUGUGCCCUCUCUCAAUCAUCCUAUAGACACAGGGCCACUCACACUAUGGUUGUGGGCUCUGGAUAUACUAUCUGAGCUCAUAGGUUGCCUUCUAUUCUUAUUAACUGCAUAUAAAGCUUGAUUAAAAUUUCUGUGCAUAUUGUUUAAAUCUCUUAUAUCAGUAAAUAAUAUAUAAUAUAGAUGUGUUUGGAAGAUUACAAAUUUUAGCAAUUUAGAACAAUUUCUGACAUCUGGCACACAGUCAAUCAUUGUCAGCCAUUAGCACAGUUAUACUGAGCAUGUUUAUGACUCUAUUCGGCUGGUUCUUCUUCAAGAGACUGGAACAGUGACUUCAAACUCUUACGUAUUUUGUAGUUGGGAACCCAGGCUUCUUUUUCUUUGGCUUUACUUUUAAGAAUUCAAAUUCUCAAGAUGGUAUUCUCUUUGUUUUUAAGAGAACCUGCCAUUGACCUCCUCUCAGACUUACAAAGAAAUAGGUCCCUAACUCUCCCUCACAAGGGAGUACCUGAAGAUCAGCCCUGGAUAUGGCUGUGUUGCUAUCUUUGCAGCUGAAUGGCAGUUUACAGCACUCAAGUCUGAGUCUCACUUUAUUAGUGUCCAAGGGUAACCACUCUAGCACAUCUUUCAGAAGAUGUUGAGUUAGAACAAUAAGGUCAAGAGCAGAUGAGUCAGCUUGGUUGUAUAGAUUGAGUGACUUAAAGCAAGCUAGAGUGGGACGUUCACAAAGAUUUUCUAUAGAAACAUACUCUUGUUGUUUUCCUUUUCAACUCUCCUGGCAAUUGUUGGUGAUAAAUGGAUGCUCGGAGGUUAUCUUUGACUUUUCUUUCUCAUUGGAUACUCCAUCAUGAUGUCAGCCAGUCUCUUUCAUGAAGGUAGGUAUGUAGUUAUUGGCCAGAGUUUAUCAGUUCUAUUUCUAUUCAUCUCAAACCCUGUUAACAGUCUAUGUGUUCUUAAAAGGAACAAAUAAGGUAUGGCCAGAAAUUAAGCAUGAGCCUAAAAGUAGCAGAGUAACAGCAAAGAAGUUGCCAGUACUGGGAUGACCACCAAAAUUGACUUGCCUGCUCUGCAUUGCCCCUGUGCUCACAGAGCAAAAGGAAGUCAUGUGUCCUUGCUUCGGAAAGCUGGGGUACAAAUCAAUAUCUGCUUGUUUUUAUUAUAAGCUAAAACAUUAAUGCCUAUAUUUACUUAUUAUUUAAUUGCAUUUAGUUAUCAAUUAAUGAGUAUCACAUAAUAAUUAAAAAUUUGUGUCAAAAUAUGACUUCAAUGACAAGUAAAAAUUGUUUUUACCAGCACAAGAUGACAAUGCAAUAUUUUUCAUUUUGUUGGUAUAUUAGUCAGGAUUCUCUAGAGAGACAAAACACACACACACACACACACACACACACGAUAUGUUAGAAUGUCUUAUACUGUGUGGCCCACCUAGUCAAGCAAUGGCUGUCUAGCAAUGGAAUGUCCAAGAAUCCAGGAGUUAGUUGACCAGUCCAUGAGUCUGAAUGUCUCACCUGGUCUGCAAUAUAUGCCAUAAUCUCAAAGUAGAUUUUAUUGCCAAUGAAGGAAUGGAGUUGAUCAUGAUAGUGAGAGUUAACAGGCAUGGAGAGCAAUCUUUCUUUGCCCAUGCCCUUUAUAUAGGCUGUCAGAAGAAAGUGGCUCUUUCCACUUAGAAAGAUCUGGAUCCAGAUUAGAAGUGAGUCUCCCCACUUCAAAUCAUUUAACUAAAGAGGUAUACCCAGACAUUUUGGUUUUAGUUAAUUUCUAUUGUAGUUGACAACCAAGAGCAGCUGUUACAAGUUCAGCCCUUGUCAACUUGAUACACAAUCAUAUUUUCUUACAUUAUGCCUAAUUUCCAAAUGAAAACAAUAACCAGAUCAUAAUUAUAUCUAAUACGGUGUAACUGGCCCUUGUAUAACAGCAAACAUGAUUAUGGACCUCUGUUCUGUCCUCUGUUGAAACAUGGUGGCACAUUCUUACUCCAAUUGUAGCACUGUAAAAAUAGAGACAGGCAGACACCGAGGUGUGCUGGCGUCAGCCUGCUCUAUUAAGUGAGCCUCAGCUCCCACCAGAGAUUUUCUCAAAGAACAUGGUGAGGGGGGAAAAGUGGACAGCCUUUGAAGGACACCAGAGAUUGAUCUCUGGCCCUGACCUACACCUGACCUACAAACACACAUACACACAAACACACACACGCUCGCAUACACACACAUGCACCCAUGCACAAGCAUGUACAUAUAUGUUCACAAAGCCUCACACACGCUUAUAAAUGCUCACACACUCAUUCAUGUAUAUUCAGAUAGACAACCAUGCAUGUACACACACAUGCAUACACACACAUACAUGUACACAGAUAACUUAUGCAUACACACAGGCAUACACACUUGUAGGCACAUGCACAAACCUAGUGAAUGAAUAUCUUUUACUACUAUGUAUCUUUAGAAAUAAAGUCUUAACUUCAGUGUAUAAAAAAAUUUUAAGUUGCUCAGAUCCUAUUUGUUUUGUGUAAUUUUUGUGCAUGUGAUACAACACAGUAUUUAUAUCUUCACAGGAGUUAUAUAUUAUGAACAUCUUACUUAACUCUAUUUACUGACAAUGUAUCAUACAAUGUUCUAGGCAGUGGGAAACAGCAAAUCUUUUUUAAAAAAACUGAUUCAUGCUUAACAAUCAGUAAAUUCUGUAAAACUAUGAAUGUCUAAUGUUUUUAGACUGUACAGAAGAACAACUAGAAUUAUACUCUCUGAAGUUGCAUAUAGGAUAUUUCAUUAUAACUCUAAGUAAUUGGUGUUAUUUUAAGUUUAUUUUGAUACUUUUCUAAAAAUGAAAAAUGACACCGCUGUUUGUGGGUUAGUAGCUGGUGGGAAUUCUUUUUACAGCUGCCUGUGUCAUUUGUCUUAAUCAGACAGCAAAUAAGCCUCCAUUUCUUCAGGACAUUAAGAUCACUGUGUGUCAUUUCUAUUCUGGCCCCUGGAAUUUCAAAAAAUAUAGCUUAAGCUCUAUGUUUUUCCAUCCAUGUGGAAAAAUAUGCAGAAUUGCUAAAUUCUAUGUUUCAAUUCAAGUACUUAAAACAAUACGUUUAAAAAAAAAAGCUGGUAUAACUUCACAGAAAGCGAGGUUAUGUUAUUUGUGUGUUUUAGCAGAGAAAUGUAAAAUGUGUGAAAGUUCUGUAACAUAGAAGCAACUAGUGUUCACCCUUAAGCAUAUUGCUGACCUCUCUGAGGCUGUAGUGUUGCUCUGCCAAGUACAUAUAUGAAUAAUCAGUAUGUAUUAUAAGUGUAUACACACAUACAUAUGUAUGUAAGAAAAGAAAUGGUGUUUAUUGAAAAAGUAGUUAUCUUUUUAAAGCUUAUGUGCAUGGCUUACAAAAAUUAGUGAAAGAUCAAAGUCUACCCAGAAUGAUAUCAUAACAAGGUAGUAUGAAAUCAGAUCAUGUGACAAGCUGAAUAUUUACACAAGGGGGUCAGAAAGCAGCUGGCUCUAUGUAAACUAAAGAAAUCCAACAAACAUUCUAAGACAGCUCUCAUUUUUUUUAUGAUUUUUUAAAUUUUCAAUACAGGGUUUCUCUGUAUAGCCCCGGCUGUCCUGGAACUCAUUCUGUAGACCAGGCUGGCCUCGAACUUAGAAAUCCGCCUGCCUCUGCCUCCUAAGUGCUUGGAUUAAAGGCGUGCGCCACCUCUGCCAUGGUUUGGUUUUUUUGUUUUGUUUUGUUUUGUUUUGUUUUGUUUUGUUUUGUUUUGUAGUUCUCAUUCUUGAUCUGCAAUGGACAUAGCAUCAAGCAUCAUUUUUAAGUAAUGUACUAUCAUUUUUACAAAUUUUACAAAUUACAGAUAUUACAAAUAUUUUCUAAAACACAAGAUCCUAAUUUGGGUGUGUGUGUGUUCCCUAAAAAUAACAAUUUUUGUUAUCCUGCAUAAAAUUAAAAAUAUGUUUAUUUCAUCUUUGUGACUUAUUUUCUUGAAAAUUUCAUUUUAAAUUCAGUAUAAACAACUUAUCUCUAUUAUUUAGAGGAAACAGUUUUACAUUUAAUAAAAACAACAUUGGGCUAUUUAUACAUGUUUUAUUUUUAGUCUGAGGAUCCGAGCAAUUUUUACUUUCUUAGCCAUUGAAAUCAAGACUCUUUUGCUGAACAUAUGACACACUUUGGUCAUGGGCUUUAGAUAAACCUAGCAGGAACUGACUUGGAAGUCUUUUCCAUGGCCACCUCCAUAGUAUAGAAAAGAUGCUGUGCCUGCUGCCAAAAGAAAAUUAAUCAGAUCCUUCCCAGCUGUAAGAUUUUGAACCGAAACAAUAUAUCCUCCCAAAAUACAGUAGUGACACUUACAUUUUUGGUAGGCAACAGAGGUAUAAUUUGACUUUUUUUUAAUUAGGUACUUUCUUCAUUAACAUCUCCAGUGCUAUCCCAAAAGUCCCCCACACCCUCCCGUCCCACUCCCCCCACCCCCACCCCACUCCCACUUCCCGGUCCUGGCGUUCCCCUGCAAUGAGGCAUAUAAAGUCUGCACAACCAAUGGGCUCUGUUUCCACUGAUAGUCGACCAGGCCAUCCUCUGAUACAUAUGCAGCUAGAGACACGAGCUCCGGGGGGCACUGGUUAGUUCAUAUUGUUGUUCCACCCAUAGGGUUGCAGAUCCCCUCAGCUCCUUGGGUACUCUCUCUAGCUCCUCCAUUGAAGGCCCUGUAAUCCAUCCAAUAGCUGACUGUGAGCAUCCACUUCUCUGUUUGCCAGUCUCAGCAUAGUCUCACAAGAGACAGCUAUAUCAGGGUCCUUUCAGCAAAAUUCCACUAGGGUAUGCAAUGGUGUCAGCGUUUGGAGGCUGAUAGCGGGAUGGAUCCCCAGAUAUGGCAGUCUCUAGACAGUCCACCCCUUCGUCUCAGCUCCAAACUUCCUCUCUGCAACUCCCUCCAUGGGCGUUCUGCUCCCAAUUCUAAGAAGGGGCAAAGCAUCCACACCCUGGUCUUCAUUCCUCCUGAGUUUCAUGUGCUUCGCACAUUAUAUCCUAUAUCUUGGGUAUUCUAAGUUUCUGAGCUAACAUCCACUUAUCAGUGAGUACAUAUCAUGUGAGUUCUUUUGUGAUUGGGUUACCUCACUCAGGAUGNNNNNNNNNNNNNNNNNNNNNNNNNNNNNNNNNNNNNNNNNNNNNNNNNNNNNNNNNNNNNNNNNNNNNNNNNNNNNNNNNNNNNNNNNNUCAAGAGGGAAAUUGGUCUGAAGUUCCCUAUCUUUGUUGGGUCUUUCUGUGGUUUAGGUAUCAGAGUAAUUGUGGCGUCAUAGAAUGAGUUGGGUAGAGUACCUUCUACUUCUAUUUUGUGUUGGGGUGCCCAGGACUGGGUGAGGUGGGAGUGCUGGGUUCUGAUGAUGGUGAGUGGUCUUGCUUUCUGUUAGUAAGAUUCUUAAGUUUGCCUUUCGCCAUCUGGUACUCUCCGGAGCUAGUUGUUAUAGUUGUCUCUGGUUAGAGCUUGUUCUUCUUGUGAUUCAGUUAGCCUCUAUCAGCAGACCUGGUAGCCUAGCUCUGUCCUGAGUUUCAGUGGUCUGAGCACUCUCUGCAGGCAAGAUCUUCUCUUGCAGGGAAGGUGCACAGAUAUCUGGAGUUCAGACCUGCCUCCUGGCAGAAGAUGAAGGCUUGAAACAGGGCCUGUUAGCUUCUGUAGUCCACACCCUUACCUGCUCAGACUAGUCUUGGAGGGAUCAAGGAACCAAGAUGGCUUCCCUAGGUGCUCUGGCAAAGCCCUCCUGGGCAGGGAGGUCACCUGUCCUCUGGCAGGGAAGGUGCCGGAUGUCUGGAGCCUGAAAUGGGGUUUGCUUCAGAAGCUGUCCUCUAGGGACCUUGGGGGUGUCCUCUGACUCCUAGCCCAGGUAACCUGGUGCUGGCGCUGACUAGAAGGGACUUGUGACCCUGGUCAGGCCGGGUUUACUGCUUCCCUAAUGCUGUCUCAGGUCCCUCGAGAUUGGAAUGGAACAGAAGUUGCGUUCCACUCACUGGUGGUCCUAAGAUCACGUGGAGUCAGAUCUUUUUAUGGAUGGUUGUGAGCCACCAUGUGGUUGCUGGGAUUUGAACUCCGAACCUUAGGAAGAGCAGUCAGGUGCUUUUACCCACUGAGCCAUCUCCCCAGCCUGAGAGUCCUCAAAGGACCUUGGGGGUGUCUGCCAACUCCGCGCCCAAGGUGACCCAGUGCUGGCGUCGACCAGAAGGGACUCGUGACCCUGGUCAGGCCGGGUUUUCUGCUUCUCUAAUGCUGGUCCCACACGAUUGGAAUGGAACAGAAAGAUGUGUUCCACUCACCGGUGGUCCUAAGAUCACAUGAAGAGUCCUCUUUGGACCUUGGGGGUGUCCGCCGACUCCACGCCCAAGGUGACCCGGUGCUGGCCCCGACUGGAAGGGACUUGUCGGUAUAAUUUGAUUUAAGGUGCAUUUAAUAGGAAUCUGUGACUGGUACUGUAAAUCUAUUGAACUAUCCAUGGCUGGUGAGGUCACAGAACCUCAUGAAGAAACUACUAUUAUUCUAAAGCAGCAUAAUUUCUAGCUCGAGUAUAAACAUAUUUUCUUAUGCUCACAGGUAAGUAUAGACUUCACACCUCAUCAAAGCAGCUUCUUUUUUGCAGUGUGUGUCGUAUGGAGACUCUACCAUGGAAACCCACAAGUGGUUACAAUGCUGAGAACUACUGACUAACUGUAGGUUGUCCGUCCCCAGAUGAUACAUCUACAGCACAACCCUUGCACCUAAGGUUCAUUAGGAAAGACAGUAGAAAAAUGUAUGAGCCAGAGGGCCAGACAUUUACUGCAAGAUAGCAUCUGCGAAAGGUGAACUGCUACCAUGAAAUCACAACUGUAGGGCAACAAGACCUGUAAAGUGGUUGACAUGACUCCGUAGAUGGGGCAACUCUUCUCCUAGAUAAGAAGCUAGAGGCAGUUAAUCGCAAGCAAAGACCAGCAGACAUGUCUUCUCUAUGGACAAGGCUCCUGAUUGGUCGUCUAAUUUCAAGUGGUCAGCUCUAAACAUACAUAAUAGGAACAAUGCUAAUGAACCCAGGAGAGAGAGGGGUGGAGGGGUGAAAGGGGAGGGGGGAGGCAGAGUCAAGGGAGAGGGAGAAUGUAUGUGUGUGUGUGUUUAUCUGUAAUAAAAAUGAUUAAAGAUGAAAUCAUAAGUUUUACAGGAAGUGGAGGGAACACAGAGUUGGCUGGGGAAGAGAUGAAUGAAAUAAUGUAAAUACAGUACUGAGGUAAGAAAUUCAUAUAUAUAUAUUAUGAAUAGAUAGAUAGAUAGAUAGAUAGAUAGAUAGAUAGAUAUGACACUCUCAAAUAGAAAUUUCCCAAUUCAUAUGCUAACGGACUGCCUAUACCAUUUAGUUCUUUUUCUCAAGAUGAGAAGCAGCAGCAACAGCAGCCCACAAUGGUGUAAGAACCACAUAAGGUUGCCUUUAAUUUCUUAGAAGAAAUGCAAUUGCUUCUUUAUCACAUACAACUUUCCAGAGUCUUGCUCAUUCAUAUACAGUAAACUCCAGUGGUUUUUUUUUCUUUUUUUCUUCAUUUUUUUUAAUUGUUAAAAAAUUCAUAGUUAUAGACUUCUUUAUGCCUACUGUACAAACAUCAGCGUGUCGAGAAAGUCAAGUGAGGUUUAAUUAUAGCUUGGAUGAUGUUCACCACAUAUUUUGUUAUCAGCUCUUCUACAAUUUUAGUUUGCAUUUAAGCAUACCCACAAAAUUGUUAACAAAAGCACAGAUUCUAGUUAACAUUAUAAUAAAGUUAUAUGUCGUUUCGUUUUAGGGGAUAUGCUGGCUAUUGAGCCCAGGUUUUUCACAUGCUAAGCAAAUGUUUUUCCAUGGAGCUACAUGAUCAGCCCAGCAUCUGAAUUUUCAGUGGGCAGUUUUGUUGUAGUACAUUUGUUUGUGUUACUAUGAGAUGAAUCUUCAGAGCACUUUCUUCUUGCAAAACUGAAGUUCUCUCUCUAUGAAACAACUGCUAUUUUCACUGUCCACCAUUCCACUUCCUAAAACUUUGACCACUUUAGGUGGUUAUUGUUUUGAAACCUCACACUUUGUCAUUUUGUGAUUGGCUAUUUCAAUAGUUUGUCAAGGCUCAGACUUGCAGCAUGUGACAUGAAGUUCUUCAUUUUUAAAGCAAAAUAAUAUUAAUUGUGCAAACAUACUAGUUUGUUUAGCCCAUUCAUUUGUUGGUAGUUAUUUCAGAUGAUUCUACUUCUUGACUUUUGUACUACAUAGUGGUGCUGGCUGCAGUGAUGUAAAGUGUUUAGGACAUGUUUGCAAUUAUCAGAGGUACUGUGUUAUGUAACAGAAUUUUUAUGGAGAGAAAAAAAACACACUUGUAACCACAGCUGGCUAUACUGCUUUGGCUCCUGGUGGGUCACAAACAUGCACUUUCCCAGGAGCUAUCUGAAUUCAUGAAUGAAAGACACACACACACACACACACACACACACACACACACACACACACACACACACUUGUUGCAGUAAAUCUCCAACCCCAAUAAGCCCUGCAAAGAACACACAACUCAGUUGUUAUAUUUAUAAGCUGCAUACCUAGAUUGGGCAGAUAUACCACUAUACUACUAUAUUCCCCAGCUGUAAGAUCUCUUGCUACUUGUGGCUCCUCCACGUGGUUCGGCUCCAUCUAUUUUAUACCUCCUCUUCUUUCAUCUUCCUCUGUCUCCUCAUCUCUCCCUCCUCCUUCCUCUCUCCCCUCUCUAAAACCUCCAGCCCCACCUUUCCCUUCCACUGCCCAAUCACAGGCUCUAGCCUUUAUUCCAUUAGUUAAAAUGGGGAGAAGGUUCACCUAAAACCGCCUGGAUAUGUGAUCCACUCCUCCUCGGGCAGCCCCUCUUGAGGUAGCAGAAUUAGCAUCAAAAUACAAACAGCAACAGGGCAAUUCAACACAAACACACACACACACACACACACACACACACACGUUUGUUUAGGAAUACAACCUGUUUAGUCUGUUCUGAAAUGCCACAGUGUAGUUAAAUCAUUAAACUUAGCCUUGGUGGGAGGAAUGGUGCUGAAGCUUUAUCGGUCUUUAGCUCUAGUAUUUAUCUUUUUUAUUACGUGUUUGCAUAAUGUUAGCAUGUAUUUUCGUCUCUCCUCUUUUAAGGAUUUUAUUAGGUGGAUGUUGGUCUGCUUAGUUUGUUCCUUAUCCUAUCAUCUUUUUCCUUCUCUGUUUUAUUUUUUGGUGGGUUUCUUUCAUAUGAUUUUCUGUCCUUUGUACUACAUUUUUAAUCUUGGCAGUCAUAACUAAAUUUUGGGUUCUCAUUAUUCUGUUUCUUUGGUUAUAUGGGAUUUUCUUUAAAUCUUAUUUUCAAGAUGCUUUUAAGAAUGUUUUAAAUGUUUGUUUUUGUUUUCUCAAUUAGUUCAGCUUCCUCUAAGGUGAAUUUCUGUCUUCCAAGUUUUGGUGUUUCCUUUUUAAUUUUGUCAGUUUUCCUCCAAUGGUAAAGACUUCUGUCUUUUAUUAAGGAAGAAGGACUGAGGAGAUGGACGUAUAUUUCUGCUUUGUUGUGUUAACAGGACAGUUUUCCUACAGACUUUCUCCUCAACCUACAGGAAUCUCUUCCUGAGAUGGGCACACAAUGUUGACUAGCAAGUCCUUUAGGAUGGAUGAGGCGAGCUUCUGUUUGGUUUGAAAACACUCCAGAGAUUUUAGGUUUCCACUUUUGCACCAACACAUUUAGAAGUUAGACUUUUCUGGACUUAUUUGAUUUCUGUAGAUAUAAUUCUCACAUGUAUUUGAUGGGACAGAAUGCUGCCUUUCUGAGACAUGUGUUCAAGUUGGAGACUGGCUUGAACUUUGUCAUAUUCAGCUUCAAAUAAACUGUUCCUAGCUUCAUAUUUUACACCUCCCCUAACUUUUGCCAACUGAUUUUGUACUCAGAGUUCUCUGGGAUUUGAAAGGCAGAUUAACUGCCUUCUAUACAGAUCUCUAUUGUUUGUUGAUUCCUCUUCAUAUAUAAACACUUUGCCCCUUCUUAGAAUUGGGAACAAAACACCCAUGGAAGGAGUUACAGAGACAAAGUUUGGAGCUGUGACGAAAGGAUGGACCAUCUAGAGACUGCCAUAUCUGGGGAUCCAUCCCAUAAUCAGCUUCCAAAAGCUGACACCAUUGCAAAAAAAAAAUAAAUGUAAAGUAUAAAAUAUAAAAUAUGAUAUAUGAUAUAUAUGUUUUUUAUUUAUUUACAUUUCAAAUGUUAUCCCCCUUCCCAGUUUUUCCUCCCCAAACUCCCUAUCACAUAUCCCACUCACCCACCCACUUGGGCCUCACUGCCCUAGAAUUCCCCUAUGCUGGGGUUAAAGCCUCCACAGGGCCCAUUGAUGUCAGAUAAAGUCAUCCUCUGCUACCUACGCAGCUGGAGCCAUGGGUCCCUCCAUGUGUACCCUUUGUUUGGUGGUUUAGUCCCUGGGAGCUCUUGAGGGGUCUGGUUGGAUGAUAUUGUUCUUCCUAUGGAGUUGCAAACCUCUUCAGCUCUUUCAGUCUUUCCUCUAACUCCUUCAUUGGGGUCCCCGUGUUCAGUCAGAUGGUUAGCUAUGAACAUCCGAGUCUGUAUUGGUUAGACUCUUGCUGAGCCUCUCAGGGGACAGUCAUAUCAGGUUCUUGUCAGCAAGCAUUUCUUGGCAUCUGGUUUUGGUGUCUGCAAAUGCAAUGAAUCCCUAUGUGGGGCAGUUUCGGGAUGGCCAUUCCUUCUGUCUCUGCUCUACUCUUUGUCCCUUCAUUUACUUUAGACAGGAACAAUUCUGUGUUAAUACUUUUGAGAUAGGUGGGUGGCACCAUCCCUCAACUGAGGCCGAUCCCUAACAUCUGGAUCUCCCUCUUUACAGGUUCUCCUUCCCCUCUGUUGGGUAUUUCAGAUACUGUCAUCCCUGUUGGGUCCUGGCAUCUGGGACUUUCUAGUUGCUACCCCCAGUUCCCCAUCCCCCACUACUACACACCUUCAUUCAAUUUCUUGACUCUUUAUACUUCUUCCUCCAUCUCCUCCCAUACCUCAUCCUGUCACCCUCCCCCCUGCCAGAUCCCACCCACAUUCUAUUUACCAUGAUUAUUUUGUUUCCUUUUCUAAGUAGGAAUGAAGCGUUCACAUGUUGGUCUUCCUUCUUGAGCUUCAUAUGGUCUGAGUUGUAUCGUGUAUAUUCUGACCUUUUUGCCUAAUAUCUACUUAUCAGUGAGUACAUACCAUGUGUGUUCCUCUGUGACUGAGAUAUCUCACUCAGGAUCACAUUUUCUAGUUCCACCCAUUUGCCUGUGAAUUUCAUAAAGUCAUUGUUUUGAGUAAUUAGUAUUUGAGUUGAGUAGAACUCCAUUGUGUAAAUAUACCACAUUUUCUGUAUCCAUUCCUCUGUUGAGGGACAUCUGGGUUGUUUCCAUCUUCUGGCUAUUAUAAAUAAGGCUUCAAUGAACAUAGUGGAGCAUGUGUCUGAUUCUUCAUUCUUUUUGUGUCAAAUGACCUUUUCUACACUUAUAUUCCAAGAAUUAAUUAGAAAUCUAAACUUCAGGAAUGCAUAAGAGUUGUCUUAUCUGUUAGGCAUUUUCCUUUGUGCUCUUUUUUAUUAUCUUCUGUCUCCCACCUAUGUUUCUCUCUGAUACAGGGAACUGGCUCUGCCAAUAAUAUUUUGUUACCAACUGCAGGCCAGCAGUCAUCUAAGUUUAACCAUUAAGAAAUACCAGAGAGAUACUGGCAAGAGGGGAAAAUAGAAAAGGUAACCAUACCUCCACCUGCUUCUGCCUUGGGCAACAUCUCUAAAAUUCCAGCCCUUCUUUUAUUUCGACUAACUCGAUACCUUCUGAACAUACACACCCCCUAACUUGUGAUUCCAAUUCUUGCCUAAUAACGUUUGAUUCUAGGAUCAGCCAACAAUAUCUUGUCCCUGGGUCCCUACAGCCAUAAUGGUGCUAAUAGCAUUAAAUGUUGUUUACUGAUAUGACUUUUUACAUCACAUCAUACUUUUUUUUUAAUAGAAAAAAUUCUAUAAAAGUAUUCACCUUGAUUCUUCUUACUGUUUUCUGAAAGACAUAGACAUAAGGAAUAUUCUAUGUAUCUAUACUUUUAGUUUAAUGGGUUCUUGGAAGAAAUGGAAGAUAUAUGCAUAUGGCCAGUCUGUCAACAUGAACUGAAAAAUGAAUGUUUUGUGGAUUUGGGUGUAUAUUGUCAAAACCUUUGUAUCAUAUUUUAUUUCCACUAACAGCAGAUGGUGUUCAUAUCUGACAUCUGCAUAGCUCAGUGUGUGAUACUGGUAUCAUCAGUGUAUCUGACUUUUACAUAGGAACAUGAAUUAAAAUAUAUGUAUGGUCUCUUGACUCAGAACAUUUAAUUUUUCUUCCUAACAGCUGGAAAUAAUCUAUGAGGACAGAAAGACAGUAGCACAUGAAUAAGUUUGGGUUCAAAGUGGCUAGUCAGUUACUCAAGACUUCAGAUUCCCAACACUAAGGGAGAUACAAAAAAAAAAAGCUGCUUUCCUGGCGGCUGCUCUAAAGUCUAAAGAGGCAAGGUUUUUUGUUUUUUUGUUUUUUGUUUUUUUUUUGUUUGUUUUGUUUUUUCUGGCUAAAAGUAAAGUUCUUCCCAGAAAAAGAAAGUUGUCACUGGGAUCCAAGUUUUCAAAGCAUUACUCAGAAAACAGUAUGUCUCACAAAAGGCUGAGUCACAAUCAUCUACCUCUGCUUUUAAGAUUAAUAAACAGUCAGGAAAAGUUAUAUCUUACAUGGAUUUCCAUAGAGAGAAUGAGAAACAGAGUAAAAGUACAGGAUUUCGAAUGUGACAUGUUGCCUUUUCUCAACUGUAUGGAACAAAGUCUUAGCUGCAUCCCUUACACAAAUCACAUCAAUUUAUCAAUUUGAAGUCUUGGUUGGCCACGGCUUAUGGCAUUUUAUGGUGGCUUUGUAAUCAUGCUUUUGGUCUUUGUAAUUUCAUUAAUUAACACUGGUCAUCUACACAGUCAGGAUGUCCUCUAUGACCCCAGCUUCUUCCACCUGCAGAGAUGGUAUACUUUUUCAUCACCCUAUUGCUUUACUCUAGUGUGCAUUCCUUCCAUUAUUUAGCAUCAACUUUUUUUAUCUUGAAAUUGAAGAUAAUUGGGUCCAGAAUUAUCCAUCCCUUGCUGAGCAAAGCAUAUGGCUAAGAGAGAUCGCGUCUCUUGAAAUCAAUGUAGCUAGUCCUUAUGUUCACAAAAAUCUCCUAUUAGGCUGCAUGACCUUUUCUCACAACAAUGUUAUUUUAUCUUAUGUGUUGAUUUAAAGAGUUAAAGUCUCUCUCCUCCUCCUCUCCCACCCUCUGUUCUAACUUUUCUUUCUUCCCUUUCUCCCAUUAUUCAAGAAGAUAAAAAAGUGGAAGAGUCACAGAUCUUAGCUUCAUCAUCAAUGACUGUAUUCACAGCUCUCACAUUCCAUGUGGUCUAUGAACAGGUUACUGUAGAACAUAAAGGGGCUUUUAGUUUUAUAGGGUGACCAAUUAGUGUUCUGACUAAACUCAGAUGUUUUGGUGACUUGUUGGGGUGGAGCCCAAUAAUUUUGCCAAGAUGGGAUCCACACGAGUGAUCCUUUUGGUCGAUACUCAGCCCCAAAUCACAGUCAAGUGGAAACAAAGGGCACUCAGCAGACAGAGAACUCCAAUUAGAAUAAUUAGGAGAAGUAAUUUGCACAGCUUCAAAAAAAAGAAGAAGGAAGAACUCUUGACAUUGCAAUUUAUCUAAUGAAUAUCUUAUUGAAGACCACUUGUAAUGUGAAAUUAAAAGCCAAAAAAAAAAAAAAAAUGAGUACAUUAGGCCAAUAGAUGCCCCUGGAGCUCCCCUACUUUAUUUGCCUUAUUUCUACACACAUCAUUUCUCAACUUAUUAGUUAUCAGCUUAAGCCCCCAGAAUCAAGGAGAAAUUCACAAAUUCUUUUAGAAAAUAGUAACACUUUAUACUCACAAGUACUACACAAAAAUCCUCUAUUUGCUACAAUUUAUGUCUGAAGGGAUUUAAGUUUAAUUGUCUUGAUCUCUUAGAAAAGAAAAGACUUGGAAGCAUUUAGUAUGACUAAAACUUUUCCCACAUGCUGUGACUUUAAUUAUGGAAAGUCGGGUCCCCUUAUAAUGCCCUGGAGUAUUGUGUAGGAAAUGUCCAUCAGGAACAAAGCAAGUGUAAUACCAUGAUCUGAAAUGAUUGGCUCCUAUACUUUCUAGUUUGUUUAAAAACACAACUGAAUGAAUCCACAUAGGAGAGCACUUCUACAUGUUCAUUUCAUUUUAUUCAUAUGACUAUGUUCCCCUUUGGUACACAUCAAAUACACAAUAUUCAUAUGGAUCUCCAAACAGGGCAUUGGAUCUCUAGAAAGUGGGACGGUUGUUAGCCAGAAUGUAUACAUUUCAAUUGAGCUGGAAUCAUCUGGAAAAGCAGUCAUUGCUCUUAACAAGUGAAUCGUCAAGUUAAUCCCUCAUACCAGAGAACAUUUCUACCUAGCCAUUAUUUUUUAGUAUGAAGUAUUUUUUAUUUGUUGACACGUGUCUAUCAAUCCUUUUCAACUGCAACAGAGCCUAUUGUGUUAUGCUCAGAAACUGAAGAGGGGUAGCAUAUCUCUUCUUAUAUUUCCUUUGUAUGGGUUUGGGUAGCACUUAGGAAGAUAAUAAGUGGCAAGAAAAGUGCUAAUCAUAUUUCAAGUAAAAAACUGAACACAGCUACAAGCAUAUAUAUUUUAAUCAAAUUUUAUAAAUGUCCUAUUUAUUAAAUAUUUAAUUUAAAUUAAAACAAAUUAAAUGCAAAAAUAAUUUAAGGAGCUUGGAUACAUUAAGAUCUCAGGUUCCCAGAUACAGUUUGACUCCAAGGAGUUCUGACACACCCAGGAUCUCAGGAUCCCAGGAUUCCAGAAUUUAGGAUCACAUGGACAACUGGACUAUGAGGAGUUCUGAAACAACCAGGAUUACAGGAGGGACAGGCCCCAGUCAGACACAGUGAGGGCAGGCAGCACUACAGAUAACCAGAUGUCAAGAGGCAAGCAUAAGAACAGAAGCAACAGACGCCAAGUUUACUUGGCAUCAUCAGAACACAGUUUUCCCACCAUAGCAAGUCUGGAUACACCAUCACAUCCCGAAAAGCAAGAUUCAUAUCUAAAAUCACUUCUAAUAAUGAUGAUAGAGGUAGAGGUCUUUAAGAAGGGCAUAAAUAACUCUCUUAAAGAAAUACAGGAGAAUACAGGUAAUCAGGUGAAGGAAUUUAAUGAAACCAUUCAGGAUGGAAAAAAAAACCAGAAAUAGAAACAAUAAAUAAAUCACAAACCCGAGACCUUGGAGAUAGAACACCCAGGAAAGAGAUCAGGAAUCAUAGAUGCAAGCAUCACCAACAGAAUAGAAGAGAUAGAAGAGAGGAUCUCAGGUACAGAAGAUACCAUAGAAAACAUGGACACAAUAGUCAAAGAAAAAUGCAAAAUGAAAAAAGCUCCAAAAACUAAACAUCCAGGAAAUCCAGGAUGCAAUGAGAAGCCAAAAUCUGAGGAUAAUAGGUAUAGAAGAGAGUGAAGAUUCCCACCUUAAAGGCCCAGUAUCUUCAACAAAAUUAUAGAAGAAAACUUCCAUAACCUAAAGAAAGAUGUGCCCAUGAACAUAAAAGAAGCUUAUAGAAUUCCAAAUAGGAUCAGAAAAGAAAUUCCUCCCAUCAUAUAAUAAUCAAAACACCAUAUGCACUAAACAAAAAAGAAUAUUAAAAGCAGUAAGGGGAAAAGGUCAAGUAACAUAUAAAGGCAGACCUAUCAGAAUUCCACCAGAGUUCUUACCAGAGACUAUGAAAACCAGAUUAUCCUGCACAGAUGCCAUACAGACCCUAAGAGAACACAAAUGCCAUCCCAGACUACUAUACCCAGCAAAACUCUCAAUUAACAUAGAUAGAGAAACCAAGAUAUUCCAUGUCAAAACCAAAUUUACACAAUAUCUUUCCACAAAUUCAGCCAUACAAAGGAUAAUAGAUGGAAAACUCCAAGAUAAAGGAGGGAAACUACACCCUAGAAAAAGCAAGAAAGUAAACUUCCUUCAACAAGUCCAAAAGAAGAUAGCCACACAAACAUAAUUCCACCUCUAACAACAGAAAUAACAGGAAGCAACAAUAGUUUUUCCUUAAUAUCUCUUAAUAUCAAGUGGACUCAAUUCCCCAAUAAAAAGUCCUAGACUAACAGACUGGAUACAGAAACAGGACCCAGCAUUUUGCUGCACACAGGAACUACACCUCAGUGACAAAGACAGACACUACCUCAGAGUAAAGAGCUGGAAAACAAUUUUCCAAACAAAUGUUUCCAAGAAACAAGCUGAAGUAGUCAUUAUAAUAUCAAAUAAAAUCGACUUUCAACCAAAAGAUAAGAAAAGACACUUCAUACAAGAAGAUUGAAAUAAUCCCAUGCAUACUCUCAGAUCACCACAGACUAAAGCUGGUCUCCACUAACAACAAAAACAAUGGAAAGCCCACAUGCACGUGGAAACUGAACAAUGCUCUACUCAAUGGUAACUUGGUAAAGGAAAAAAUAAAGUAAGAAAUUUAUGACUUUUUAGAAUUUAAUGAAAAUAAAGGCACAUCAUACCAAAACUCAUGGGACACAAUGAAAGCAGUGCUAAGAGGAAAACUCAUAGCUUUAAGUGCCUACAAAAAGAAACUGGAGAGAGCAGCUUGACAGCUCAUCUGAAAGCUCUAGAACAAAAAGAAGCAAGCAUACUUAAGAGACAUAGACAGUUGGAAAUAAUCAAACACAUGGCUGAAAUCAACCAAGUAGAAACAAAAAGAACUAUACAAAGAAUCAACAAAAUUAGGAGCUGUUUCUUUGAGAAAAUAAACAAUUAGAUAAACCCUAAACCAGAUUAACCAGAAGGAACAGAGAAUGUAUCCAAAUUAAUAAAAUCAGAAGUGAAAAGGGAGACAUAAAAACAGAAACUGAAGAAAUUUUUAAAAAAUCAUCAGAUCCUACUACAACAAAAUUGGGAAAUCUGGAUGGAAUGAACAAUUUUCUAGACAGAUACCAGGUACCACGUACGAAGGUUAAAUCAGGAUCAGAUAAAUCAUCUAAAUAGUUCCAUAACUCCUAAAGAAAUAGAAGAAGUCAAUAAAAGUCUCCCAACCAAAAAAAGCCUAGGACCAGAUGGAAUUAGUGGAGAAUUCUAUCAGACUUUCAAAGAAGACCAAAUAUCAAUAUUUUUCAAACUAUUCCACAGAAUAGAAACAGAAGGAAUACUACCCAAUUUGUUCUAUGAAGACACAAUUACGCUUAUACCUAAACCAAACAAAGACCAAACAAAGAAAGAAAUCUUCAGACAUAUUUUCCUUAUAAACAUCGAUGCAAAAAUACACAAUAAAAUUCUCUCAAACUGAAUCCAAGAACACAACAAAAUGAUCAUUCACCAGGAUUAAGUAUGCUUCAUCCCAGGUAUGCAGGCAUGGUGCAGUAUACAGAAAUCUAUCAAUGUAAUCCACUACAUAAACAAACUCAAAGAAAAAAAUCACAUGAUCCUUUCACUAGCAUUUGAGAAAAUUCAACAUCCCUUCAUGUGACAAGUCUUGAAAAGAUCAAAAAUUGAAGGCCCAUACAUAAACACAGGAAAAGCAAUAUAUAGCAAAGCAGUUAGUAGACAACAUUAAACUAAAUAGAAACUUGAAGCAAUCCCACCAAAAUCAGGAACUAGAUAAGGCUUCCCACUCUCUCCCUACCUGUUAAAUACAGUACUUGAAGUUGUAGCUAGAGAAAUUAGACAACAAAAGGAUGCCAAAUACAAAUUGGAUGGAAAGAAGCGAAAAUUUCACUAUUUGCAGAUGAUAUGAUAGUAUAAUUAAGUGACCCCAAAAAUUCCACCAGAGAAGUCUUACAGCUGAUAAACAACUUCAGCAAAGUGGAUGGACAUAAAAUUAACUCAGACAAAUCAGUAGCCUCUUCUACUCAAAUGAUAAACCGGCUGAGAAAGAAAUCCUUCACAAUAGUCACAAAUAACAUAAAAUACCUAGGUGUGACUCUAACAAAGAAACUGAAAGAUCUGUAUAACAAGUACUUUACAUCUUUGAAAAAAGAAAUUGAAAAAUCUCAGAAGAUGGAAAGAUCUCCCAUGCUCAUGGAUUGGCAGGAUUAAUAUAGUAAAAAUGGCCAUCUUGCCAAAGGCAAUCUAUAGAUUCAAUGCAAUCCCCAUCAAAAUUCUAAUUCAAUUCUUCACAAAGUAAGAAAGAACAAUUUGCAAAUUCAUUUAGAUAACAAAAACCCAGGACAGUGAAAACUAUUCUCAACAAUAAAAGAUCUUCUGGGGAAAUCACCAUCCUGGAACUCAAGCUGUACUACAGAGCAAUUGUGAUAAGAUAAAACAAACAAAACAAAACACCUGUAUGGUAUUGGUACAGAGACAUGCAAGAAGAUAAAUGGAACAGAAUUGAAGACCCAGAAAUGAACCCACACAUAUAUGGUCACUUGAUCUUUGACAAAGGAGCUAAAACCAUUCAGUGGAAAAAAAGACAGCAUUUUCAACAAAUGGUGCUGGCUCAACUGGAGGUCAGCGUGUAGAAGAAUGCAAAUUGACCCAAUAUUAUUUCCUUGUACAAAUAUCAAGUCCAAGUAGAUCAAGGACCUCCACAUAAAACCAGAUACUGUGAAACUUAUAAAGGAGAAAGUGGGGAAGAGCCUCGAACACAUGAGCACAGGGGAAAUUUUCUUGAACAGUUCACCAAUGGCUUAUGCCUAAGAUCAAGAAUUGACAAAUGGGACCUCAGAAAAUUGCAAAGCUUUUGUAAGGCAUAGGACAUUGUCAAUAGGACAAAAGAGCAACCAGUAGGUUGGGAAAAGAUCUUUACCAAUCUUACAUUUGAUAGAGGUUUAAUAUCAAAUAUAUAAAAGGAACUCAAAAAGUUAGACUCCAGAGAAUCAAAUAAACCUGUUCAAAAUGGGGCUCAGAGCUAAACAAAGAAUUCUCACCUGAGGAACACUGAAUGGCUUGGAAGCACCUAAAGAAAUGUUCAACAUCCUUAGUCAUCGGGGAAAUGCAAAUCAAAACAACUCUGAGAUUCCACCUCACACCAGACAGAAUGGCUAAAAUCAAAAACUCAGGUGGCAGCAGAUGCUGGCAAGAAUGUGGUGAAAGAGGAACACUCUUCCAUUGCUGGUGGGAUUGCAAGCUGGAACAACUAUUCUGGAAAUCCGUUUGGUGGUUCCUCAGAAAAAUGGACAUAGUACUAAUGGAAAAUCCAGCAAUACCACUCCUGGACAUACACCCAAAAGAUUCUCCAACAUGUAAUAAGGACACAUGCUCCACUAUGUUCUUAGAAGCCUUAUUUAUUAGAGCCAGAAGCUGGAAAGAACCUAGAUGUCCUUCAACAGUAGGAUGGACACAGAAAAUAUGGUACAUUUACACAGUGGAUUACUACUCAGCUAUUAAAAACAAUGAAUUCAUGAAAUUUGCAAUCAAAUGGAUGGAACUUGAAAAUAUCAUCCUGAGUGAGGUAAUCCAAUCACAAAAGAACAACAUGGUAUACACGCACUGAUAAUUGGAUAUUAUCCCAAAGGCUCGCUGUACCCAAGAUACAAUUCACAGACCACAUGAGGCCCAAGAAGUUGGAAGGCCAAAGUGUGGAUGCUUAGGUCCUUCUUAGAAAGGGGAACAAAUACAGAGGUGGAUGCAUGCAGUCAGCCAUUAGACAGAGCACAGGGACCCCAAUGGAGGUUUUAGAGAAAUGACUGAAGGAGCUGAAGGGGUUUGCAACCCCAUAGAAAGAACAGUGUCAACCAACCAGACCCCUCAGAGCUCCCAGGGACUAAGCCACCAACCAAGGAGUACAUAUGGAGAGACCCAUGGCUCCAGCCACAUAUGAAAUAGAGGAUGACCUUGUCAGACAUCAGUGGGAGGAGAGGCCCUUGGUCCUGUAAAGGCCCUUGGCCCAUGGAUGGAUGACCCAGUGUAGAGCAAUUUGAGGGUGGGGAGGCAGGAGUAGGUAGAUGGGUGGGAGAACACCCUAUAGAAGCUGGGGGAGUGGGGAUGGAAUAGAAGUUUUCAGGGGGGAGGGGCAGGUAAAGGGGCUAACAUUUGAAAUACAGAUAAAGAAAAUAUCCAGUAAAAUUAAAUAAAAUAAUUUAAUUUAAAUUUAAAUAUUUUAUUAAUAGCCUUGUAUAUGGGGUAUAAAUAUAUUUUUUAAGGUUUUACUUGGUCUACACACAGAUACACAUAUAUGUAAAUUCACUUUCAAAGAAAGAAAUAUGAAAAGAUUAACAAUUUAGAGAGUAAUUAAUAAAGUCAAAUUAUAAAGAAGUGUCUGCUACUUUUAUAAACAUGUUGAGGUCCACUAGAAGUGAUUAUACAUAAGGAAAUUGGGUGGUCAUGAACAGAGGACCUGGGGUCUGGCAAACUCUUGAUGUUGUUAUUAUAUGAACAUGAUUGACUUAAGAAGUUUUAGGGAACUGUCUCCUGGGAAGAGCUUAUUUUUGUACAUGACUACUACCUCCUUGCAAUGCCAGCUGUCUGUUCCUGAGAUGGAUAACCCAAAUGUCAUUUCCAAGGAAGAUGGCUUCCAAGAAGAGAUCAAGAGGGCAGUUGAGGAAUUGAGAGUUAAGUGGGAGAUCUAGGAUUGAAACAUCAGGUACUAACUCCAUCCCACUUCUUACUUGGGAGACUGUCUCUAAUAUGCAGUAUUGGGAAUGUGGGAGGGGGGGGGCUGAGGACUGCAAAGAUUAUCCAUCACUGGAGUAGGCAUUUGUGCUAUUUGCAGUCUUUAGAGGAAAAUGUUUCCAGUUAGCUGUGAGAAACACUUGCUCCUUCUGUUUCAGAGGUCAUUAUGAGUGAGGUAGGUGUGGGAUCUAUUCCUUUUGGCAACAGCAUCAUGGAAGGAAAGGGAGAGCCAGGAUUAUCUCACAAAUAGAAAGGAACAGCAAGUUUUACACCCACUGCUUUUUAAAAUGAUAGCAGUGAAGUCUGACCUGAAUUGAGUAAGGCACUUGAGAUGACUCUGCUGGCAUUCUGAAACGUAAUCUUAACCCUCUCACAUGAGUAGUUCUCGAGACACCACACCACCAAGGAAAAGAGAACAUAACACAAAGGAUGCUACAUCUGAGCAGAAAGCACAUAGAAGUAAUGGAGGUUCCCCUCAACUCCAUUUAUGUGCCUUGGUGAGUACUAUCAGCAAUCAAAAGAGGAAGAAAACUUUUCCUCAGGUUUCAGACCUGGUCUUGGAUGGUAGAUUUCAUUUUCAAGUCAGGCUGAUAUUUUAAGUAUGGACUAAAACUGACUUUAGCACAAAAGUAUUCUUCAGGAAUAAAGAUUGAAUAAAACAUGUUUGUUCCUUGAGGAUAUUAUGCUGUUUUCCAGAAUUUUAAUAAUGCAUACAAAGCUUUAGAAACUUGGUAUAAUGGGUUCAUGAUGUCCUUAGGAUGGUAGGAUGCUUGCCCAGCAUACUUUUUGCCCUCCCUUCAACUCCCAGCAGCUCAGAAGGUGGACAUGGUACUGCACAGGUGUAAUUCUAGCACUAAGGAGGUAGAUGCAGGAGAAACACAAGUACAAAGUCCUCUGCAGCUUAAGUGAAUUCUAGGCAACCUGGAUAACAUAAGAACACCCUUCCCCCAAGACACACACACACACACACACACACACACACACACACACACACACGUACCACAUAAGCCUGGUGAGAUGACUCACUGUAACCUGGUGAUCUGCGUUAGAUCCCUAGAACAUAGUAGAAGAACCGACUACCACAAGGUUGUUCUCCAACUUUCACAUGUUUGUGAUGGUACAUACACACACCCCAAAUAAACAGAAGAUAAUAAAAAUAAAUACAAGUCAAUACAGCACUUUGCUUAGCAUUUAAAUUUUUUACUGGUGACUUUAUAGUGGCUCUUCUUAAAUGGCAAUUCUUACUCAGUUGUUUUUGACUGUGAGGAUGUGUUAUGUCAGAAAUGGUACUUUAGAACUUGUAGAUUGAAGAGAUCUAAGAAGCAGGCACUGCUGUUAAUUCAGCCAAGUGAGAAACUGUGUGUACUCUCCCCAUCACCUCGUCUAUAGACAUGUUAAAAAUAGUGAUGUAUGUGCAUGACAUAUUAUUUAUUUAGUCUCCCUAGACUGAAUGUGAAUGUGGAUUUACAGACCCCUCACAAUAAAUUCUGCUACCCUCAGGGGUCCAAGACCUACUGCUUGAAAUCCACAGAGCAGGACAGGCUUAUGAUUGAUGACAACGAGGAGGGCCUGGGGCACAUCUGCUAGUCUUCCAUGGCUUUCAUCCUCACAGCCCUCACACAGCCUCCUUGAAAUGCCACACUCUGCUGUGUUUACUGGAAAUGUUUUCUGUAUAAACUUCAAAAAGUUAGUUAUGACUCUCUACAGCAGAAACAUUUUUCAUAAAAAAAAUGAAGUGUACCUUGGAUGAAGAUUUAUUCAUCAAAGAAAAAUGAUUUUCGAUUUAGGAUCUACUAGGUCUUUAAAUGUGCAUAAUAGUACUUUAAGUGGGAGGUGACUAUACACUUGUUUAAUGCAUAAUUUUCUAUACUUUUCUGAUAAAAUAUUUAUCAGUACAUUAAGGCAAAAGAUUCCCACAUAUAGUACCUAAAGACACAUAACUUUGUGUUCUCAUUACUAUGUAUACAUUGUAGUUGCAAUACAACAACAAAGCCUACCAAUGAAGACAGUAAUGCUACACAAUACAUAGCCAAGUAUCACUGUAAAUUCACUUUCUAGAGCCUUCUGGAAUUUCUUUCUCUCCACUGAUUUUGUCAAAGCUUAUGAUUCAAGAUGUAAGUGUAUAUAUCUAUCCAAUUUUGUUUCCUACCUCACCCAUUUUUUAUUGUCUUCUUUUUGGUUAAUCCUAGGUAGAGUUCCCCCCCCCCCUAGAAAUGCCUUGUUGUGGAUUGUCCUAAUAAUGUUUGUAUUUUGAUGUUUGUUUUGUUUCCUCAAGCAGGAUUGCCCCUGACAAGCAACAUCACAUACUCAGAUCAUCUCAUGUGAACCUUCUUCCCAUUUAACUGGUCAAUAAGGCUAGAGCCUGUGAUUGGGCAGUGGAAAGGAAAGGUGGGACUGAAUGCUUGAGAGUGUAUACAGGUAGAGGAGAGAAGAGGACAAGAGGGGAAGGAUGGAGGACAAAGCCAGAAGAGGAGGAGGAAGGCAUGAUGGACUAGAAACGUAUGGGCAGGAGAAACUGCAAGUAAGAAGGGGACUUAUAGCUGGGAAAUAUGUUAGUAUAGUGUUAGAUCUGACCAAUUUAGGCAUACAGCUUACAAUUAUAAUAACUGGAUUGUGUGUUUUUAUAUGGGUUUAUUGGGGUUGGAAAUUCCAAAAACAGUGCCUUAGAUAAUUAUUUUAAAUCUUUCAUAUAUGAAUCUGCACUCAUGUCUAUCCACUUUUUUUUUUUUUUUUGCACCAACAGUACCUUUCUUCCUUUCUUUUUAUCAUGGAACAACUUUCCUGUCAGUUUGUCCUCCUUUGCUUUCUGUGCACACUUUUGUCACAACCAGUUUCAAUCAACGCUGUUCUGAUUUCCAGCCCUACUAUGUAGCUGUCUUCUACUUUUUGGGUUCUUUUUCCUUCCACCCUCCUCUAACCUCUUUCUACCCUUUAAUCCCCCUAAACACUAGAUAAAAGAGAAAAAAGUUAGAAAAGAAAGGAAAUAUUCCUGAAUAAAGUCAGGAGUCAGAAAGGGAGCAACAUUAUCAUUAGACUAUUUUUUUGCAAAUUAGGGGCAUUGAGUUCCUUGAGACAAGUUUGAUCUUCACAAUUAGGAUAUCUAAUUUCUUUCUUCUUCUUCUUCUUCUUCUUCUUCUUCUUCUUCUUCUUCUUCUUCUUCUUCUUCUUCUUCUCCUUCUCCUUCUCCUUCUCCUUCUCCUCCUUCUCCUUCUCCUUCUCCUUCUCCUUCUCCUUCUCUUCUUCCUCCUCCUCCUCCUCCUCCUCCUCCUCCUUCCCCUCCUCCUUCUUCCUCUUCAUGUUUCUUCUUUGUAACAACUACUUAACAAACUAAGACCAAAAGCAACCAAUCAACAACCACCAACCCAACAACUGUCUUGGAUCCCUAGCAUUUAUAUACCCUCUCAAAAGUUCCCAUAAUUCCAAAUAUGCAGAAACUAUCUGGAGCUGGCAAAAUCACACCCUCACUAGAGCAAGAGACAAAUCACAGUUGCAGUGGACAAUGUGAAACAGGCCUAUAUUUCAUACCUGAGACUGAAAAAAAAUCAAUUUCUAAUAACAUUUCUAUGUAUUUAUUUAAAUAAACCAAAAAUUCCAAAAUUCUCAUUAUACCAAUAUUUCAUUGAAAAGUUCUUAUCACAAAGACAAGUUAUGUAGUAUCUAGAUCUGAGGUUAGCCCAUUACUUCUCCUUCACUGACUCUUACAGUAGUGUGUACAUACUGAUCUUCCUUAAAUAUUUCCUUUGGUCUGAUUCCUUCGUUCCUUUAUUCAGGAAGAUUUGCUCAUAGGAUAGAACACAGGAAAAGAAAGGCUGAGUUCUUGAGCUAGAAGUCUGAGAAACUAGAAACCUAAACAUGAGGCUGCAGAAGAGUAAGCACCAUGGUUGAUAAGACACAGUUUGAUAGAGGACUUAAGAGCAAUACCUUCUUAAGAUCAGAAGUGUCUAGGGAAACUUCCUGGGAAAGGUGACACUUAAUUAGAGACACUUGUCAGAUGAAUCAUCCAGAGAGCAGGGUAAUGUAAUGAAAAGGACCAUGAAGGCAGAAGAGCUCAUGUAAAGGGAUUCAGUGUCAGAAGGGAAGAAGGGAGGGGAAGAAACAGAAAAAGUCAGAGAGCUAGAGACAGAGACAGAGAAAGACAGAGACAGAGAGAUAAGGCACAUGCACAUAGAGAUACAUACAUACAUACAUACAUACAUACAUACAUACAUACAUACAUACACAGACACAUACAGAUACAAACAUACAUACAGACACAGAGACACACAGACACACAUAAAGACAGACACAUACUUAGACAGACACAGUCAGACAGACAGACACAGACACAGAGACAGACACUGACAGACACAGAUAGAUAGACAUACAUAGUCAGACAGACAGACACAGAUAGAUAGACAUACACAGUCAGACAGACAUAUAUACAGACAGACACACAAACACAUGGACACAUAGACACACAAAAAGAAACAGACAGGCAAGCAGAUACAGACACAGAGAGAGACAGAAUAGUCAGAGACAGACAGACACACAGACAGAUGGACACACAGAGGAAAUGAACCAAGAGAGAGGGAGGGAGGAAAGGAAGGAGGAAGAAGAAGAAGAAGAAAAAGAAGGAGGAGGAAGAGGAGGAGGAGGAGGAGGAGGAGGAGGANNNNNNNNNNNNNNNNNNNNNNNNNNNNNNNNNNNNNNNNNNNNNNNNNNNNNNNNNNNNNNNNNNNNNNNNNNNNNNNAGAGAGGUGAGAAGUUUGGGUGGAGUGUGAUGAAGAGAAUGGAAAAAUAUAUCACCCCAAGGAGGUCACAUCACAUCAUGGCAGGCUUUGUGGGAUAAUUCGAGAUUAGAGUAUUUAAUGGUGCAGAAAUAUCAUAAAGAACAUAGAUGUUAAAUUUUCUGAGGUUGGAGAAAGGGUUGGAAAUGUGGCAAAGGUAGCUGAAGAGCUUCAGGAGGCCAUGGCAUCAAUUCUGUGUAAUGUAAUUGUUAUACAGGCACCAGGCAUGAGGGAAUGGUGUUUCCUUUAUGCAGCAGUAAGUUCUCUCUUUCCAACCACCCUGUUAUGGAUGUUGGUGAUGUGGAAAUCAGUGUUAAAGGAGGGAGGGAGGAAGGGAAAGGAAGAAGAAAAGAAUGAAGGAGAGGAGAAGGGGAGUGGAAGGAGAGAGAGUUGAAUUAAUGCCACAUGGGAAGAAAUAAAAUGCUUUGCAGAUUGACUGGAAGCCAGAGGUAGGUAUAACAUCUGGUCUUAGAAGUUCAUAAAACUAGGACAACCACCCAUAUGGUGGUGCCAUUCAUGCCACUGGAAAGUACUCAAGUAGGAAUGUGGUGUCCCUAACAGUGGAAAGGGUUGUGGUUUCAGUUUUACUUUACUGUUGUUUUCCAAAAGAAAACAUACUAUAAAGGCAGGAGGCACCUAGAAAGGUAUUGGUUGUUUAUAAACAGCUAGCAAAAGAAAGAGAUAAUAAGGAUUUUUUGUACUAGGAACUUUAUCAGAGAUUAUGUCUGAAUGACCCACAAUAUAAAACAUGGGGACUAUGGUUCUGGAGGAACCUCUUUUUCUCAAGAGACAGAAACUACAGAUCUGGAUUCAUGGCUCUUUAUAUUUGAUAUCAAGGAUUCUGAGACAAAAAUCACAUCCUUACAUCCUUACGGCUACAUGUAUUUCUUCAAUGAUGGAGAACUUGCCUACAUACAUUUGGUCCUAGAGUUGAAUCUUGGCUCUACAAAAGAAUAAACAAAUGUAAAGCACAGAUAUAUUAAAUGAGGAAACUUUAAAAAAGAAUCACACAUACAGUAUCUGAAGCCACAUGCCUUUGUGUUAUCACCAUGCUUAAGAGUGAUAUCAGUCUUCAGAGGGACUAAGGAGAGCAUGGUGAAGUAAAAGAAUCCUUAGAAGAGUUUUAUGCAAAAUUUAAGGGCCUUUACUUUCUCAGGAUCCUGCCAAGGGCUGUGCACAUAACCAGCUCUGAGGUCUGUAAGUCAGAAAAAAAAUUUAUAGUAGUAAAUACUGACAUGUGAAAUAUAAGGAAAGAAAACAACAGCUUUUCAAUUUUCAUCAGUUUCCUCCUCCUUUUGUAUUUUAUGACCCACAUAAAGUUUGCAGCACAAGUCACAUUUUUGCAAGAUCAUUGCUUUGAGGACUAUAUGAAGCAAUAGGUUACAAAAGGCUCUCUCUCUCUCUCUCUCUCUUUUUCUCUCUUUGUAAAACCAGAACUGCAUUUAAGCCACUUUCAAGAAUUCCCGUAUAUUGCUACAUACUUGACCACUUUCAGUGACAUUUUGGAUAUUGCACAGGGAGAAGUUUCACAGUUCUUCUAGAGAGAUAUAUUCAAGAAAAAAACGAACCAUUUUUGUGUGUUAUGAAUAUAAGCUUUCAGUUCACAUUCUCACUCCCCAUCAUUUAUCAAGUCCUAAAUCUCUGCCCAUGCCAACAUAUUAUCAAUAUAUUAUACAACCUGCCUUAUGAAAAGGCUAUUUCCACACCAUUAAGAACGUCAAUUUUAUUUUGCCAACUUAGAACUAUUUUUAAGAAAUUUCAUUUAGUUGUAUCUUAUAGUCUGAUAUUUGUUUCCUGAAAAAUCUGUAAAUUCUUGCCAGUUUAUGAAAUACUAUAGCAUCUACAAGGGUCAGAGGUUAUCUAUGGCAAAAUUUCUGUAAACACAGAAUGGUCAACUUCCCAACAGUGUCUUCUAAGACGGUGGCCAACUCCCUUCUCUGUGUUAGUCAUGGUUAGUCACACAGGGAGGGACUUAACUCUGCUUACAAAAAAAGUGAUUGUUCCACUAUCCUCAGGAAUGGGGUUAGUCACCAGCGUGCUCCCUGGGGCAUUCCACUUCAUCCCUGCUUCCCCCAGGGCAGUAUUGUACUCAGACAAAAGUGUCAGCAGAGAUCCUUGAUUCAGGCACAAGGGCAACUAUUGCUCAGGUCAACUCACCCAGUCCUCGGAACCACCUGGAAUUAUUGGCUGUAUUUUAGAGAUUACAAAGCUGAAGUUUGGAAGGAAAAGACAUUUUCCUAGGGUCAACCAGAAUUGGGUUUUGAACUGAGUUUGGCUCAAGAGUCUGCUUUCAUAAUUAUCACACCAAUGCCUUCCAGAUUUUGUUCCCAAAGGAAGAAGAACUGGGGCAUCCUACCCCAGUCACAGCAUCUCCUUGGCUGUUGUUUUGUAUACUGAAGUUCCAUGAGAAACUUACACACAGGGGGCAACAGCCACACUAUUAAAACUACAGGAAACUUUUGAAUCAAGACACCCCUCUGCACCUCUGAGGUACAGGAUGUGGAUGCUGUGUUGCUUACUUUAGGCCCCCCAAAUAAAUGGUCAACUCAAAUAAUCCUGCUGGAUUAUAUCAGUAAACUGUGGGUUAGGUCAAUUUAGGCCUGCCAAAGUGAUCAAGUGAGAAGGCAGUAUAGCUUAACUAACCUUUUGGUGUUCCACCUGCUCACCACUACAGUAUAAAUAUGAUGAAGACCAUGGAUGUCUAGUGAACUUAGCAGUAUAGAGGUUAUUGAAGAAGAGAUAAAAACUUUAAAACAUCCUUGUCACAACUGGGCUUUGUUCACAGUGUGGGCAUUUGGGGCAUGAACUUCUGUUUGGGUGCAACAACUCAAGAGCACACAGUCUAAGAUGACAGAGAAGGGAGCCAAGAGAGGGACAGAAGCCUAAGACCCCAACCAGGUGGCUUAGUUGAAAUCAUAAACAAUGACCAGGACAGGAUGACAGAGGAAAGAAACUACCAUUCACAUAGGCUGAAGGAGGAAGUGUUUAUCUUGAAACUUUCAAUGUAAAGAUUUCAACCACAGCCUUGCCCUGCUGGGGCUUAUACAUAAGAUGUGCUCACACUCAGUCUUUCAAGUUUGAUUUACAGAGAGUAAAUGGUUUAUUCUAGAAAAAUGUCACUGAGGCAAAUCAAUAAAUUAUAUCAUAUACUUUUUUAUAUAUUACUGCUUUUGUAUAGUUGUAAUGACACAUUGAAAUAAUUAAAAUAUUCACUGAUCAUCUAUUGUACAUUGCACUAGACAGAGGCUAUAGGGAGAGUGGACCACACUAAAUCCCUGUUCUGACCACAUUUAUUUUAUUUUAUUUUUUNNNNNNNNNNNNNNNNNNNNNNNNNNNNNNNNNNNNNNNCUGUUGAGGGGCAUCUGGGUUCUUUCCAGCUUCUGGCUAUUAUAAACAAGGCUGCUAUGAACAUAGUGGAGCAUGUCUGACUACAUUUAUAGUGUAGUGGGAAAGGAUGUUUAAAAAUAAAUAAACAUCCGAUUUAGAAUGGCAGUUUCAGAUACUUGGAAUGAAAAACAUUACUAAUCAGGGCACUGAGACUAGCUUUGUUAUAGGCAGUGAAGAGGGACAUUCUAUACAGAGUGGCUAGGGAAUUCCUCAGAUGGCAUAAACUGUGAAAUUGUACAGAAACAACACAAAACAGAAAAAUUUGAAAACUAGGUAGUAAUUUAAGGGAAGGAACAUUCCUGCAUUCCUUCUAAGAGAUACAGCACACACAAAGGCAUCAAGGCACCUUCAUUGCUUGAGUGUGCUUGGAGCAGAGAGUGGGCACAGAGGAACAGACACAUAAACAACAUGGAGAGGAAGUCAAUGUGGUGGGCAAGCUGGUUAUUCCCAGAUCUUUGUAAGCCACAACAAGGACUGUGACUUGAAUUUGAAUGCUAGAGGCAUCAUGAGGAGAGAAAGGUUGCAAUAUGACAUUUCAAUUACUUGUGUCUAUGUGUGGAGUUUCAAAACCGAUGGGGAUGGUCCUGCCAUUAUUCAAGUGAGGGGGAUGCUGACUUCGCAUCGCCAUGAAAUUAGUAAAACAUGAAGAUUCUGGGUGUAUUCUGCUGGAAAGUAAGUGUAGAUUGUAGGGGGAAAAAACCCAACAAAUCAAAGAGGACUAAGGAAAUGGAAUUGUUGUGUAUAGAGUGGGAAAGACUGGUUCAUAAAGAUGUUUGAAAGGUUUUUUUCCCCUUGAGACAAAAUGUUAGCCUGACUAUCUUCAAACUUGCUACAGUUCUGCUAACUCUGCCUUCUAAAUGCCACAGUUAGGGAGGUGUGCCCUCACAUCCUUAUUACAGUGUUUUCUUCUUAUGAGGGUGCAAAAGUAAUUGGAGGAUCUCUAUUCUGUGACUUUAUGUAUCUAUACCAAUUACCUCACUGAAGACCUUACUGCCACAGUGUGGGGAGAGGCUUCACCACAUGAAUAUUACAUGGAGCAAAAUUUAGUCCCCAAUAAGAGACAAUGUACAAAAGAAGAGACUGUCAAACUGGACAGCCUUUCACAGCCUUUUACAGCCUUUCACAGGCAUUAGCAAACUUAGAAAGAAAUAAAAAGAUCUAAAGUGGGGCAUUAUGAAGAUUAGUAAACACGGACUGUUUUAAUUACUAACAUUGUAGGAUGACUAUGAUGAGACUUGGGAAUGGCCACUGAUUUUAGCAAUGUGAAGAACUUGAUGAUACGAAGAACUUGUUUGUGCUAUAGUACAAAUGAUUGCCCCAUGGCCAUGAAUUUCACCAGAACAUGGGAAGUAAGAUAAUUAUUCAUUAAUGGUGGAGAAUAAUCACUUCUGUAAAGAAGAAAUCCCAGUAAGACUUUGUGGAGCAAAGAAGAGAACCAUGGAAAACAGUGUACCUCAGUCCUGGUACUUUUUGAGGAUAUACUUGAGAUGAUGAAUAGGAGGAUAGAAGGAAUGAUUGGAGGAAGACAGCAGAGAUGGAACACAGGUCUGCUGGCCUUCUGGCCAUGUGGGUCCCUCACGAUAGAAGUGGAGAACUACUGAAUAGUUGUGAGACCUAAAACAGAACAUCAGCAAUUGUUGACACUUAAGUCCCCAGAAAGUAUAUCCCAAAGACCUCUUCUCUGGUUGAAAUUAGAAAAAAAAACGAUUCAGACUGUUUUAUCUUCUCAGAUUUUUGGUUUUGCCUUGCACUAGAUACUGCAGUUCAGAAUUGUGCAAUUGGUGGCGUGUCUACAGGGCAGAGACCUUUGCUCUUGAUGGGUAUCCUUCUCUAUUCUGCUUAUCAUGGCACAGAGCUGAGUGGUAUCUCAUCUAGACACUGAGAGUUUUGCUCAAUGCUUUACACGGGAACUAAUCACAUAAAGGGUUAGGAUCUUAGCCUUAUGAAGACAUCAUGUCUUCUCAUGACACAGAAUGGAAAGUCAUGCUAGAGGUCCCAGAUCUCUGGAGGGUACACAACAUGCAGUAGAGUCAUAAAACAUGUUAAUUCUCUUACAUUUUCCUCUUAGAAGUUUCCUUUAUUUUCACAGAAAGUCGGGUCUGAUGACCUAAACUAAGCAUGCUGACAUCAAAUUUCCAGAUUCUGGGAUACUCACAUUAUUUUGCUACUUAAAACCACAUUGAGCUUCCAACAGUUAUUCAGAAGAGCCCCUGUGCAGGCAAGUAUCCCAUCAGUUUAUGGCAGGCUCUGAAAAAAUUUACUUGAAUGGGAGCUCUGUUGCCUUUUGAGCAGAGUGGUUGCCUGAAACAAAUUUACUGUACAGUAAGUUGUAUUUCCUGAGGUAACUAAGUUCCCGUCUAAUGGCCUUAGAGUGCAGCUCCCAGGAGUCAUAAUGCUUUUUGCACACAAGCUUGCAAGGGCUCAGUGCAGACUUGGGCAAAUAAACCCCUCUGUGCACAAAGGGUUCUAGAAAUCUCUUGCAGACAAUCCAAACAACAUAGCCUUCCCACUCUUUACCUUUCCCUUAGCUUAUACUUCUGAGUUUUUGUUAACAUUUAAAAAAGAUAUUAAAGCUGCAUUUUGUUCACCUUGUAAAAUGAAAGAGUACAUUGUACAGGCACUGGAGGUACACGUCAGUGCUUUUAUCAAGUCAGGGGCCUGCUCUGCAGCAUUAAUUGGAAACAUGUGUUGAAAAUUCAGGGCAGGUUUCUCAGUGUCUCUUUAAUUUAGUAGAAUAAAAUAAGAACUAAACUCACAUUUCUUUAUGAGGCCAGUCUGUUGGAGUUGUUCUAUUAGCAGGUCUGAUGGAUGACUCUGAUGGACAAUACUGGUACCUGUGUUUAGGCUGCUGGGAUGCUGGUAGUUGUUCUAUUUAAGACCUUAUUCAUGGUUCUACUACACUUUCAGGCACCAUUAUAGAGGACUUGUUGUAACUGAUUCUCUGAAAGUUAGCUGAGGGAUGCUGAUAGAAAGCAUAAUUGAUUUCAAAGACACCGGAUGACCGACACAUGAAAGAUUUUCAAAUAGCCAUAUGUCAGAAGCUAAAUCUGCAAAGUCUCACCAGUAUGACUGCCUAAACAUGACCUGAAGAAAGAGAAGAACAGAAGACAUGACAAAAUGGACAGGGGAAGGACAGUGAAGCCUCACCCUACACUAAGACCUACAGGAAACAAAUGAGUAUGGAAAGUGAGAGAAUUAGUCUUCUCCAGGGAAGAGCACAUCAAUUGGUUGUAUGUUAUGUGUAGCUUUUUGCUACCCCACCUAUGCUCCAGGAACGGACCUAGCUACCAGACCCCUCCCAGCUUCCCAUGAAUCCACGCAUAAAACACACACACACAGUUCAUUUUCUUUCUUUCUUUCUUUCUUUCUUUCUUUCUUUCUUUCUUUCUUUCUUUCUUUCUUUCUUUCUCUCUCUCUCUCUCUCUCUCUCUCUCUCUCUCUCUCUCUUUCUUUCAAUUGUCAUCAGGAUGUUUACUGGAUAUUUUCUUUAUUUACAUUUCAAAUGUUACUCCCUUUCCCAGUUUUCCCCCUGGGAACUCCCUAUUCUAUGUUCCCUUCCCCUGCUUCUAUGAGGGUAUUCUCCUACCCACUCCCACCUCCCUGCCCUCUAAUUCCCCUACACUGGGGCAUCGAUCUUCACAGGACCAAGGGCCUCUCCUUCCAUUGAUGCCCAAUAAAGCCAUCCUGUGUUGCAGUAUUUUCCCUAUCCAAUUACAUUAGGGAAGCAAGAGGCUUGUGAUUGAACAGGGAAAAGGGAGGCGGAGCUAAGAGUUGCAGAGACAGAGAAUGUCUAGAAAGGAGAAGUGAACACAGGUUCACUUCCUUCUCCAUCCUCACCUUCUCCUUUCUCUUUCUGAGACACUCUCUGUCUCUGUAACUCUUAGCUCCGCUCCCUUUUCCCUGUUCAAUCACAAGCCUCCUGCUGCCCUAAUGUGACUGGACAGGGAAAAUCCUGCAACAAUCCUCUACUACUAUGUGGCUGGAGCCCUGGGUGCCUCCAUUUGUAGUUAAGAAAUAGUAUUCAUUUCAAUAUUACUACAUUGCUCUUUUUUUUUAAUUUUCAUUUAUUUAUUUACUUACAUCUUAAAUGCCGCCCUCACCUGGUCCCUCCUCACAGCAAUACUAACCCCAUUGCUCCUCCCCUCCCCUCUGAGACAUUGGGUCACCACUGGGUAUCCUCCCAUCCUCUCACUGUAAGUCUUUGCAGGAUUAGGCACAUCCUUUCCCACUGAGGACAGACAGGACAGCUCUGUAGGGGAAGGGAUGCCACAGUCAAGGUACAGCUUUAGGGAGAGCCUCUGCUGUAGCUGCUGGGAGGCCCACAUGGAGACUGAGCUGCACGUCUGCUACAUAUGUUUUUUGGUUGGUGGCUCAGACUCUGAGGAGCUUCUAGUGGUCCAAGAUCAUUGACUCUGUUGGUAGUCCUGGGUCGUUCCCAUCCCCUUCAGGGCCUUCAGUCCUUCUCCCAACACUCCCAUAAGAGUCCCAGACUUCCAACCAAUAUUUGACUGGGGGUAACUGCAUCUGUUUUUGUCAACCGCUGGUGAGAGCCUUUCAGAGGACAGUUAUGCUAGACUCCUGUCUGUAAACAUAAAAAAAUAUCAAUUAUAGUGUCAGGAGUUGGUGCUUGCCCAUGGGAUGGGUUUCAAGUUCAGCCAUUUAUUGAUUGGCCAUUCCCUCAGUCUCUGCUCCACCUUUGUCUUGCAAUUAAUUUAGACAGGACAAAUUUUGGGUUGAAAGUUUUGAGGGUGGGUUGAUGUAUCCAUUCCUCCAUUGGGGGUCCUGCCUGGCUGCAGGAGGUGCCCUCUUCAGGUUCCAUGUUCCCACUGUGUCUCCUCCCUGGUUUUAGUGAGAUUGCUUCAUGUUUCUCUCCAUUUAAUUUGAUGUUGGCUGUUGGUUUGCUGUAUAUUGGUUUUUAUAUGUUUAGGUAAGUGCCCUGAAUCACUGAUCUCUCCCAAGACUUCUAACAUAAAGGGGUGUAGGAUUGUGGAAGGUUUUUUUUUCUGCAUUCCAUAGGAUUAUGAUAUGAUUUUUUUCUUUCAAUUGGUUUAUAUAGUGGGUUACAUUAGUGGAUUUGCUUAUAUGGAACCAUCCUUGCAUUCUUGGGGUGAGGCCUACUUGAUUGUGGUGAAUAAUGAUUUUGAUGUGUUCCUGGAUUCUGUCUGUGAUAAUUUUCUGGGUAUUUUUGUGUCAAUGUUUAUAAGUGAAAACAGUCUGAACUUCUCUUUCUGUGUUGAAUCUUUGUGUAGUUUAGGGAUCAGGAUAAUUGUGGCCUCAUCAAAUGAAUUAGAUAGUGUUCCUUCUGUUUUUAUUUUUGUGGAAUACUCUGAGGAGCAUUGGUAUUAGCUCUUCUUUGAAAGUCUGGUAGAAUUUUGCACUAAAAUCACCUUGCCCAGGGCUUUUUUGGUUGGGAUAUUUUUAAUGACUGCCUCUAUUUUCUUAGGGGUUAUAGGACUGUUUGGAUAGUUUUCCUGAUCUUGAUUUAACUUUGGUAAGUGGUAUCUGUCUAGAAAAUCAUCCAUUUUGUUUAGAUUUUCCAUUUUUGUGGCAUAUAGGCUUUUGAAGUAUGACCUAAUGAAUUUUUAAAAUUUCCUCUCUUUCUGUUUUUAUGUAUUCCUUUUCAUUUUGAUUUUGUUAAUUUGGAUACUGUCUUUCUGUUUUUCUUAAAAACCAGCUCCUGAUUUUGAUGACUCUUUUAUAGUUCUAUUUCUUUCUAAUUGAUCGUAGUGCUUACUUUUCCAUUGAAUUCUAGAAAGUAUUUAAUUUCUUUCUUUCUUUCUUUCUUUCUUUCUUUCUUUCUUUCUUUCUUUCUUUCUUUCUUUCUUUCUUUCUUUCUUUCCUGACCAAGUUAUCCCUGAGUAGAGAGUUGUUCACUUUCAGUGAGUAUGUGGGAUUUCUGUUGUUAGGUUGUUUUCAGUGAGUAUGUGGGUUUUCUGUUGUUAGUUUGUUGUUGAGAUCCAGCCUUAAUUCCUGGUGAUCUGAUAAAAUGCAUGCGAUUAUUUCAAACUUUUUCUUACUGUUGAGGCUUGCUUUGUGCCCUAUUAUAUGUCAAAUUUUGGAGAAAGUUCCUGUGGUGCUAAGAAGAAAAUAUAGUUUUUUGGGGGGGUGGAGAGGGAAGGUCUAUAAAUAUUUGUUAAAUGCAUUUGGUUCAUAACCCAUUAGUUCCAUUGUUUCUCUUUUUAGUUUCUAUCCUUGAGAGUGGGAUGUGGAAGCCCCCUACCAUUAUUGUGUGGCGCUCAAUGUGUGAUCUGAGCUUUAGUAAUGUUUCUUUUGUGAGUCUAGGUUUCCUUGCUUUUGGGGCAUAGAUGUUAAGAACUGAGUGGCCACCAGAUUGUUAAUUUCAUGUGUGAAUGCUUUUUGGUAUGAAUCAAAGUUAUAGCAUUUCCAAAGAUGUUGGAUGUUUAAUUGGUGAGCAUUUCCAAUGAUGCUUGAUGUUUUAUUGGUGAAUGUUCCUGGGUAUGAAGUACAGUUUGAUGAUGUCCCACACAGCUUACGAAUGAAGGAGCUGCACAGCCUACAGACAGAUCUGAACCCUUUGGGUGUACAUGGUUGUGCCUGCCUCAUGUCUCCUUCCAAAUUUUUACCCAGAGCAUAGAUCCAACUAAGUCAUCUCUAUCCUUCCACUGCAAAUCUUCUAGAUCUGUACAUUAACAUCCCCUGAGCUUUAUAUGGCACAGAUUUCCCUUCAGACAAACUUCAAGGAUUCUUGAAGGCGAGUUCAAAACUUCACUUAUAGAAUUUUUCUGGUCUCUCAACUGUUCUCUAACUUUCUCAAAGAAAUGAGAGUAUAACAAUAUUCUAGGGUUGUGAUGGAGAAAUGGACUUCAGAAAUGGCAAUAUUUAGGGGAUGAAGAGAUGGCUCAGUGGUUAACAGAAGUUCUCAGCACUCACAUCAAGAGUCUAUAACUCCACCUCCUGACAAUCCAGUGCCUUCUGGCCUAUAUAGAGACCUACACUCAUGAUACAAUCCUUCCCCAUACAAACACAGAAAGAAAGAAAUGUAAAUCUUUAGAAAAUAGCAAUAUUUUAUAUAGUUCUGAAGAAAAUACCACUUUUGUUAUUGUAUUUUUUCUAAUGUAACUCUUGCUGAAUAUACAAAUCUUACUAAACUUGAAUAAUCUUUGAUAAAUUAUUGCAUAAGAAAAGCUGUAUCUGGGCUGGUAAGCUAGUUUGCUCAGUGGGUUAUGAGUGCUUGACAUGACACCUAACAACUUGAGUUCAAUCUUCUGAUUGCUUGACAUACAUGAGCUCACACUCAUACACCUACCAUAGAGCAAGCAAUCAUUUUUAUGUUUGACCUACUGUUAAUACCUGACUACACUUUUGUAAUGCAGUGUAUCUACACUGGCUUAGUUAGACAGGUUUCCUGGAAGUCUCACUGUAUGGACUGGGCUCUAGCUUGCAGAGCAGACUCAGUUAUGAUCUGUAAGUCAUCAUAGGCCAGGCAUGGGGAACAGCAACUCCCUGGAGAAUUGCUACUUGAAAUCUUUCGAAAAUAAAAUGUAUUAAAUUUUCUUGCUAGUUUAGUAACACUCCUGCCCCUACUUAAAGAGCCAUUUAAGUAAUAAAAGUCCUGGAAGGGAAGGAAACAGGAAGUGUUUCACAGUAUGCAUACAUUAGAUCUAGCUCUGAAAAGCAAAGUAUCAGGGCCACAUCAGGCAACGCCUUCCCUCAUCAUGAGUCCGGAGAAUCCUCUUCUCUCUGCCAGUUUGCUAGGAGUUGUUGAUGAUGAUUCUGAUUUUUCUUCCUCUUUUUCCUCUUCCUCUUUCUCUUCUCCUUCUCUUCCUUCUCCUUCUAUUUCUUCUUUUCUUCUAUUUCUCUUCUCUUCUAUUUCUUCUUUUCUUCUAUUUCUCUUCCUCCUCAUCUUCCUCUUCUUCUUUCUUCCUUCUCCCUCCUCCUUCUUUUAUUUUCCUUUUAGUUUCUUCCUAAAUUACAUAUUGGCUUCUCCAGAAAAUACACGUUUAAACAAGCCAUGCACCCAUCUCAUUUCAUUUAAUUUUCUGGUCUCUCAGUCUCAUCACCUUGACUAGGACUAGGAAGUGAGGCAGCAGGAAAUUGUAUAAAACAAUGUGUAACAUAUUGGCUAGCUAUGGCUCAAAAUCCUAAAAUCCACUAUCAAUUUUUUUUUUUUUUUUUUGGUGGUGGUGGUGAUGGGGAAAUCCCUAUCUAGAAAGAUCUGACCUACUUUCCUUGCUACUUUGGUUCCUGUAGCUCUGCUUUUGAAUGAAGGGCUUAUUUGUAGGUGCUGCAUGUUGUUAGCAGGAAUUCAGACAUAAGCAAUCAAGGCAUACAGGCCACCACUAAGUAACAGAAAACAGCAAACAAUCAAUAAAUCUUCCUUGUUUUUGCUUUCAACUAUGAGUAGUUCUCAAAAAAUAAAUAAAUAAAAAGAAUUUCUUCUAAGAUCCUAGUGAGAACACAUGACAUCAACAUGGUCGCCAUCAUGGUGGGGCAUCUAAGCAUGACCCUCUCCUUUCAUGUUGUCACACUUUCUUGACUUCUGGAUGAUAUCUCUAUGACAAUUACUUUCAGAAAUAUCCUUAUCACUCUCAUAGCUUUUGGCAAAGAGCACAGUUCGAAGGCAGAGUUUUUAGACAUAAACAUUAUUUAAUCUACUCCCAUUUGACUGGCUACUAUAUCCAAGAUCAACAUUAAAUUUCAAACUCUCUAUAAGUAUAGCAAACAGUUCAAGAUUCAUCCACAUUCCUUCAACUGAAACUUCGGUCACCAAAAUCUCUCAUGAUUUUUUUGUGGAAAAAACACUCCUCUAUCAAUAUGGAGGUAGGGGUGAUUCUCUCUUGAAGAAUUUAGAGUCUUUAGGGUCAAUGAGAUCUUGGUGUGAAAAUCUACUCUACUCUGUGAUACUGUGGGAUGAGAAUUUCUGAUGGAGUUCUUCAAAGGAUGGUAGGGAAAAAAAUUAACAGGUGAGCAGUAAUAUUCAUGUUGAAUUUUAUUCAAAUAUGGGGGAGGAAAAAAAUCAUGUGUAAAUGAAAGGAUUAUCAGGCAGUUUAAAACGUGAGCCAAGCGUAGUCCAUAUAGUGUUGUAUACUGAGGACAUAAGAAAGUUACUGGCCAGAAUAAGAGAAAGCAGACAAUCAUUUCAGGGCACUCUUUACCAUAAGGAUACAGAGAAAAUCAUUUUAAGUUAACUCAUGUAAUAUCUAUAAUGAUGUUUCAUCUAAAGAAUUUGCUAGAAAAGUCACACCCCUUGUUAAGAAUGUAAAUCAGGACAAUAGCCAUAAAUGUGUGCAGGGGAAGUCUUGUGGGUGUCAUCGUUCCCCUUAUAAUAUUAUUAGCAUGAAGCAGAACUGUAACUGUGGUUUCUGGGAAAUCAACUCACAGGAAAAUUAAGGAGGCUAAUGUUGAAUCUAGAUGUCAGCUACUUGUGAAGGAUUCUAAAAAUGACGCUUGAGUAUAAGGAUUACACAAAAGAGUGAUGGUUGAUUUUCCGGGUCAAGUCUAGCGUAAGUCUCAUGGAGCCACAUUUUUUUUUUCCUUAUUCUUAGAUAUCCCCAAAGAGCUUUGUGAAUUCACAGUUAACUAUAGGGUAGUUUCAGCCUUGUUUUGAGGGCCCCAGGCUUCAUUUCCUACAACAUGUGCUCUGAGGGCAAAGGGUGCUUACUUGUUUUGCUCACCACCAUAGCUAAUGCCAAGAACAAAAACUAGCACAAAUGUUCAGAAACUGUUUGUAAAAUGAAUAGAUUUAUCUUUUAUUUCUCCAGAUGGCCCAGGUCUGUACUUGAUGUAUAACCUUUCCUUGGUAAACAUUUGUUGGGACAAACACCCAAUAAAGAGUUGUUUGGCUCAAAAAACACGGAGUGCUGUACUUUAUAAAUUUGAUUAUAGGUCGUGAAGCAAACCUUUUCUAAAGUAGAUCGCUGACCUUUUAAAAUUAUAUAAUAAAGACACCUAUGCUUAUGCAGGGCCCCUUUUUUCUUCCCUAAUGAACUCUGUACCUUAUCUGUUGCCAGCCCCAACUUAUAAAUUUUAAGCUGAAAAAAAAUCCUUCCAAAAUGAAAUCCAUUUGUCUUAGAAGUGGGGAUACGAACAUUCAAAGAGUCACAAUGCAUUGAAAGUCUGUUUCUGUGCUUUUCAAGUCAGCCAGUGGUCUCCAGAGCAUUUAUUUUUCGGGUGCAGACAGUGGAAACCACAGACGUAAACAUGGCCUGGAAUAGGAGGAUCUGAACACAUUGUAGAGUGUUGUUUACAAUGUGCAUGAAACAGAAUGCCAUGCUUUUCUUGUCUCCAAAGAUAUGAACAAUUUGUGCUUAGAGGCUGUAUGCAUUAUUUUAUAACCAAGUGAAUCAAUGCAAUGCAGAGAUGGAUAAAAAUAUCUGUUGGCCCACACACAUGAAAUAAAAAUCCAAAAUGUCAAAAUAUGAUGAAUUCUAUGGGUGCUAUUGCUAGUAUUACUUUGGGAAGAUACUCAUCACUGAUUUUUCUCAUUUACUCUACACAUACUGGUUGUGUACUUUUUAAUUAUUUGUAUUCUGUCCCAUAUUUUCAAGUUCCUUGGAAAGAGCUAAGUUACAUGCAUCUUAAAUUAUAGCAAACACAAUAGUAUAGCAACAUUCAUGCAUGACUAAGGAGGAAUUUGUGCUUUAGUAUUGUAUUUGUAAUUGAUACAUUUAUAAAUAUACGGAUUUUUCUUAAGUGUAACCUAUCAAAAAAUUGAAAUGUGAUAAAAAUUUCAUUCUUUUAAAGUUUUAUUUUUAUUGUAGUCCAGGCUAGCCUGGAACAGCAAUCCAGGCUGACUUUGAAUUCAUGGAAAACUUGCCAGCAGCUUUGGCCUUCCAAGUCAUGAGUAUAUAAGCACAACCCAUACAUGGAUAAAAUGUAGGAAAAUUCUCUCUCUCUCUCUCUCUCUCUCUCUCUCUCUCUCUCUCUCUCUCUCUUUCUCUCUCUCUCUCCUCACAUGUACUUGUAAGUCUGUUUAUAACUUUUCCCAUUAGCUUUGGUAAUAAAAGUAAAUCUGAUAUUUAAAAGUCACACAAAACCAAAGGUGAUGAUAUAGGUAGUUAAGAGCUGAGUGUUGAAAACUGAACCUACAGUUAGUAAUCAAACACUCAACUUAUGAGCAGAGAAGAAAGUAUAACCCAAGAAGCCAAAUAAUACGUGGGUAGAAUAAAGGAAGACCACACUGCACAAAUGAUGUCCCAAAAGCCAUGAGGAAAAAGAUA